UGUAGUUUGCUUUGAAUCAUGCACUUCUCUUAUAGGAAUAAAAUACGCUUUGACAACAAUGACAGUGAACAGAAAUUUGAAUAUAAUAACCACAGCAUGCAAGCAUGAUGAACAUUCCCCUGCAAUCAGCCAACGUCAUAGAGUUCCAACGAUUUUUCAUACCACUUGGUAGUAGUCAAGAGUUGGUUGAUGACACCAGAAACCAUUGGACCUCACAUAAUCGCACGGCCUUGUCCAGCAAAUCCAAAAGAUACCAGCUUCACUCAUAGGUAUUCUGUGGGAAUUAUGCUUCUUUUCUCUGGGUUCUAGAAAAGGUAGGUGGAAAUAUAAAUGCAUUACUUCACUAAACUAGAAAUUAAUUUCGUUGUAGUGGAAGUGGAACUAUAAGCUUUAUUUAUCAGGGGACACCAUUGUUGGUAAACUUGGACCAUACACAUCGGCAUCGAAAAUACCAACUCGAGCUCCCAUUCUAGCCAAAGUAUAUGCAAGAUUUACAGCUACAGUUGAUUUUCCCACGCCUCCCUGAACAGUUCUGACAGACAGCAGUCAUAAUAGAAGAAAUUAAAGAAUAGUACUUUUUAAUAUUAGUAACCUAACAACAUGUCAAACCACAAUUUGGAAAUACUCAAAGAAAAAUCUUUUCCAUUAUAAAAUUCGCUAAUCGGGGAAGUCAUCACGAUGGAAUGAAACUACAGGUCAUCCUUAUGUCACAGUCAACCUCUCAAAGCAACCCCAAAAACGUCUUGUAGCCAAAUGUCAUGCAACGAAAUAGCUACUUUGUCAUAACCUGGAAUAUGAAGUGCAACAAACAGUCAACCUUCUCAAAGCAACCCUACCUUGCAGCUUGAAACUGCUAUAAUGUUUGAGAUCGUCUGUAACCCUGGAGGAAGUUCACCUGUGAAAACAGGUUUUGCUGGUUGUGCUGACAUAAUUACUUUUAACAUUCUUGACCCAAUGAAGAUUAGCCACCACCUCAUUUGCCUGCUGCUCAAACUGUCAAGGAAUACUCAUGCUGUUAAACUAUUUAAGGUUCAGUAACCUGAUAUAUCAGGCAAAGACUCUGAGGAAACCAUUAGGAAGCAGAAAGACAACGAUAGAUUAGUUUCAAAAAUACUUUGAAAUUGUACAUGCACAAAGAGAUUUAUGGAAGGGUGUCAAAAGGAGCAGGUGUCAAUGGUUUCUAAAGUAAUUAAUACACAAGACAGAACAUCUAGUGCAUGAGCAAGUAUUCGGUUACUGAGCAAGCAACAUAGGUUGUGUUAUUUACCAUGUCCUUGAUUGGACAUGCAGGUGUAGUGAGCUUUAACCGGAAUGAAACCUGAGAAUCAAAGCCAAGACAUUGUAGGGUAAGGGUGUCAUUCCUUACAGAUGUAUAAAGAAUAAAUUCCAGACUAAUUCUUUAAUAACCUCUCUAAGAGCUUCAUCUCUGAGGAGGUCCUUAACAAAACCUCAUGAAACAAUGUCCGUUCCAAAGUCAGGAUCAAUAAUUUGAGACAAGGCUUUCAGCACAUCACUUUCAGCUGUAUGAGCUGAAACUGCAGAAGUACUCUCUACAAUUACAAGAGCAGAAAAUGUACACGGAAUGAUGUCAAGCUUAUGAGAUGAACAAGAAAAAAUCAGAGGUGAACAAUCGGUGAAAACUAAGCAACCAAGUCCAGUCAAUUUUGCUCAGGGCAUACAGGAUAGGCAAUUAUUUUUGGCCCUUAAUCCCUUAAGAUUAUAAGCUGUAAUAAUCUUCUGUAUCUACUCAGGGCCAUUCAAAUUUGGUUUUGACAAGGGGUAGCCAAGAGUAAUUGGUUUGGAUGGGUUCUCAAUAGUACAAUGCAUGCUCAUGUGCACAAACACAAGACUGCUUUAAUUGUUUUCUGUUCGUGUAUAGUUUCUUUGCAAUUCCAAGAAAAUAGUUUGACAGAGCUAGCCCCUUUUAUUUGGCCUACCAAAUAAUCCUCCAAAAUUUUCUUCAAGGCAGAACAUGUAAAUAUGUCUUCGCAGAGAGUAUGAUAUGUAUUAGUGGAAGCAGAUUGAUCUGAUGGCACUAGCCAACGGUUUCACCAUAAACAUACUCAUUUCUAGAAACUCACAACUUUAUAAGUAGCAGAUUAUUAGCACCAAAAAAUAAAUUGCAGAAAGUUACCAAGAAUCGAACAUGGACGCCUCAGUAAAGUUAAUUAGGUUUACUUACUAUGAUACGAUUAAUUAAAUCAGGCUAUAGGCGUACUAGAAACAAUCUUAACUGUAUCACUUGCACUCGCUCCACAAGAUCACUCUGUCAAAUUCUCGACAUUUUCAUGAAAAUAGCUACUGGGUUCUCAUAGCUCAGAUAGAUAAAUACUCGAACAUUAAAAAAAAAAAAAAAGAAGAAUCCCAUUUGGGUAUUUACCAAAUAUUACAGGCACCCGAUAAUCAACGAAUUCAAAUUAUUCAUAGAAAGUACCUUCCACUGAAGCAGCCUUAGCUGCAGAGGAAUUCGAGACGGGCGGUUUGCGAGAUACCCAUCUGGAGCUUCGAAGCCAUUGUUGCUUGACAUAAGAGCCGGUUGUCGAUGGUGCGAGAGAAUUCGUCAAGAGACACGGUCCUACAACAGAAAGGCCCAGGCGAUGAGACAGUGGCAGUGACAGUGUCGGUUCGAAGAUCAUUGCAUGAAUUAGCGCAAAAGUUACCUCUGUUCGGUUGGACUUUUGAGCAGCAUAGGAAGAGAGAUGGAGAAGAAGAUGGGCACUGCAGUAGGUGCAUUUUCUUGAGAGAGAGAGAGAGAGAGAGAGAGCAGAGAGCUAAGAGUGCUCUUGCAGGAAAAAUGAGAGGUGGCAAAUGCUUCUGAGCCUCGCGCUCUCUGCUCUUAGUGCAAAAAAGCGCCAGCCCAGCCUCAUGUUAACAGAAGAGGAGUUCGUUAAUUUUAAAAGAAAAAAAUAGAAGACCUUUAUUCCAUCUAAAGAAAAAUGUGUUCCUUUGGACUUAAAUAAGAGCAAAAAAGUAUUUAUAUCUUGUACUUUUCCGUUCAAAAUUAAGAAUAUAAUUUAAAUUUUAAAUAUUCUAAAAAAACUGUAUGUGAAUCCAAGUAUCAAUAGUGAAAAUUUCAAGAAUUUCGAAGUUAAUUAAAGUCCAAACGCAUAAGCCCGAGAUUUAGAUUAAAUAAAAAAUUUUAAAAAAAUCUAGACGAACCUUAUGGGUAUUGAACGAUUAUAUCUAUGUAUAUAUAUUUUCUAUAUAAUAAUAGCAAUUGGCGGAAAUAUUUCUUCAAAUAACUUAUUUUACUCAUCACCGCCACUUCAACAUAUGAAUAUACCAAAAAAAAAAAAAAACUCGCUUAAUCUUCUAUAAAAUUGUAUAAAGAAAAAGUUAUAUAUAUAUAUAUAUAUAUAUAUGUGUGUGUGUGUGUGUGUGUGUGUAUAGAUUCAAUCAACGCUAUUUAUUUCUCAUUAAAUUUACAUGAAACUUAUUGUUGCCAUACUUUCUACAUCUAUAUCAUCAUAUAGGUAAAUCCUAAACCAAAUUAAAGAUAAGUAGGACUCAAUUUGAAAUCAAGUUAAAUUAAUUACGUUAAAUAGUCAUUCCUAUGGCCCAUUACAAAAUUUUAGAUAUACGACUCUUCACUAUCGUCAUCUAUUAUCCUUCUUUUUGGUCAAGAUCAUUAUCUAUCAGUUUAGUUACUUUGAAAUUGUCAUUGUGGAUCAUGCCCAUACUCAGAUUCCUCUAUGCUCUGGGCAUACGAACGAGACAUAAUGGUGUAUCGAAGAGGUACACAUUAACCAACUUGGAUCUCGAGCGCCCUCAUCAUUGACCCAAAUCCAUGGCCGGAGGCGUGCGAUCAUAAGAGCUGUAUGUCCACAGUUGGUGCACUUGGGAGUUCCACCCGGAUCUCGUCAUUAAGGAAACCAUAUCGAACUUGACAACUGAGGCAACUUUUGAGUCCAAGUUAGCAUCGAUGAUUGGGUCAUUGAAGACGAGUACAGGUAACUCAAAUCAUUUUUAUACUUGGAAAGUAGUUCGCUCCAGGUAACUGGAUCUAAACUAAGAUACAACAUGGCAUGGAGCAACUGUUUAUUGCCGAAAUUCACAGCGAUAAGAACUAUCUUGACGGCCAAGCAAACACAUGGUUGAAGUUGUCAACACUUGAGAAGAAUUUCCGAAAAGAAUGGUCUCAUUCAUUACAUAAGUUCGCCAAACUCAAUCUGCUGAGACCUUUCAUUCUCUAUCCAGUACUGCAAAACGCUGAGGUGCUUCUAACUUUUUACAUACAGCCCGGCUCUUCCGUACACUAUUGCCGGGGAGCGCUCCAAGACUAAAAGCAGAUGACUUCUCCAUUUGAACAUCCACAUACAUUUGCCUUCUAUUGAUGGAAUCUUGUUGCUUUUAUAUUGAAAACAGAUUAUGUUUGUUGUCCUCACCGUACCCCUAUGCGACAGAGUUCCAAAGGAACUAUCAGCCUUGGUAAACUGAGUAGCUUUAAGCAGAUUGCACAUGUUUUUCCAUUAAAAUCACACAGACAAUCUGUGGCAUACAUUAAAAGACGAAACUGCAAAUAGAUAGAGGAGAUAUAACUAAAGUGAGUAUAUAUGUAUUGGAUUGUAGUACGAGUUAUCACGGGAAAUGAGUUGGCUGAAGUUACAUAUCAUACUUCUUAGGUGGUGUAGUUUUCCCGUGAUAAAGAAAAAUCACCAUGAAGUUCAUUUUCAUUUUCUGCUCUUUUCUUCCGCAAAUCUACUUUGAUAGCUAAGUAAAUCAUACAUAAGAAUAGAAUAUUUUUGCUUUCUACAAUAAAGAUUAUACCCCAAUUUGAAUUCCCAAAGGACAUUUUGAAUUACGCUCCAUAUCAUUUAUAUUCCCAAAAGUAAGAACAAGAUGAAGCAAAUAGCACUAAGAGAAAGCAAUAUUAUUCUCUCACACAACCUCUUGACUUGCACUGUACAUGGUAUCAUAUUUUGAACAAUGACUACUUGCAUGGCUUGAUGUUUUGAACAAAGCUUAAAAGGACAAAUUGAUAUAACCAUCACACCCCAGCUCUACAAACAUAGGGAAAAUGACACGAUCGUCCUCCUAUCCAAAAGACGCAGUCUCAUAUGCAUAACCAACAUUAACCUAUCAUAAAAAAUAUACCCAUUAAUGUCUCAUAAAAAAAGAAGAAGCUGGUUACAUGACUAGAGUUCUAAAAUUCACCAAUAGAAAUAUAUAUAUCUAGUGACCGACAAACUAAACCGAAAAAGUACAUUAUAAAUUAUACACACAAUUAUCUCAAGUUAUACCCAAAAUCCAAAUUCCUAAGAAUCCUCCACUGAUGUAGCUUUCCUCCUAUAAGUCGGAAGCUGAAAAAGAAUUGAGAUGCCCCGGUAUAAGCAUACCACCUCUCAAUAAAUAGUGCACAUCUCUUCUCAACAAAUCAAGCAUCAGCAAUGCACAUUAUAAACAGUAACAGAAACACAACCAAAUCCAGUAUAUAAUAUAUGUAAAAGUCCAAAUAUGAGUUACAUCAUUUCAACAACAUUUUCAACAUAUUAGAAACACUCACUCAAUCAACAAUAUUUAAACAAACAUCAAUGGUUUAGUCCAUUGAUUACUCUAGUACUUCAUAUCAAACUAUAGCCAUGUUUANNNNNNNNNNNNNNNNNNNNNNNNNNNNNNNNNNNNNNNNNNNNNNNNNNNNNNNNNNNNNNNNNNNNNNNNNNNNNNNNNNNNNNNNNNNNNNNNNNNNNNNNNNNNNNNNNNNNNNNUAUGAUUUCAGAUCAUAGUGACAAGAGGAUAAAUCCAUCAACAUAAUCCCGUCAAAAACAAAACCAUUUCAGAACUCAUUUAAUAAAUUAUAUUCACAAAUCCAUACAACCCUUCGCAAUUCCAUCCACAAGAAGAAUACAUUCACGAAAAAUUUCUCAAACCAUUUUGUAAAUAAUCAGUCCUCCAACUAUUUCAGGAGAUAUCUUACUUUGCUAUUUCAAAUAACCAAAUAAGGAAAUAUACAUACGUGCAUGCGUGCGUGCGUGUGUAACCACAUAAGGAAAUAUGUGUGUGUGUAAUCAGCCCUCCAACUAUUUCAGGAGAUAUCUUACUUUGCUAUUUCAAAUAACCAAAUAAUGUGCGUGCGUGCGUACGGGCGGGCGAGCAAGCGGGCGGGAGUGCGUGCGUGUGUGCGUGCAUGCCGCGUGCGUCGUGCGUGCGUGCGUGCAUCGUGCACGUUGCGUGCGUGCGUGUACACAUAUAUAUCAUAGUGUGCAAUCUCUCAUUCAUAACUUAUAUAGCAUAUCUAAUUCCGGUGAUUUUCAAGCCAUGAGUUAACAUAUCAUAGAAGAGCUAAGCACCAAUCCUCACUUACAUAUCACUAACCUCAACUAAGAUUCUACUAGGUGACGCUAAUUUUUGAAGUCAAAAUGUCCAGUAUAAGUCGACAAAAAGGCCGCACAAGCAUCAUACUUGCAACGGGAAACAGAGCAGCAAUCUCAUCUUACAUUGUGAAUUUUGGCAUGUCAUACAUCUCUACUGAACUCCAUUCUAAGUGAGUUUACAGUCAAAAGAGAGCUUAUUCAAAGUACUAAAAGACCCAACAAAUCCUUAGAACCAAAAUUUGGUCGACAACUGAUGAAAUCAGGGACGAAACCCUGCUGGUUGCAGUCACUCUAAAUUAGUUUUCGAGAACUUCGAAGAACCAAUAUCUCUCAAACGGCAAUCCAUAAAAUCUCAUGAUUCCAAGAUCAACCUAAAGUUUCGAAACGACAUCAUGUCACUGCUCAACAAUCUCAAGAAUCAACUUAGCAACCCUAAAACCCGAACCGAUCCGAAAUUACAACUGAACAGAGCACAUAUCUUUGAUUUGAAGGUAUCGAAUUCUUACUGAGUGCUUCAAAAUGGUAUCGAUCUAGCUUGUCCUGGCCUCCGAACCGAAUCGCGCCAGAAGCCCCUUCCGCUCAUUCACGGAUUCCACACUCUUUCUUCUGUUCCCUCUUUGCUUUGCCGACUCGCUCCCUCCCCCUCUUUUUGCUGCUCUUGACUUUUCAUAUGGACCAGCUCUCGGGCAGUUCCAAGUAGUCGUACAACGUGUAUUUGGUACCUUUUGCAAUGAUGCACAAUCACGGACCUUCAACGAACAUAGCUUCUCCAGCUUCAAAGCAUCAGGGAGGGGCCUUUCUAUGGAACUGCAAUCUCCAGUUGAAGACGGUUCAAGUUCGAUCUCAAUUAAUUGUGGGCACUUCGUCACAAACAAAUUUUGAUGCUCCUUUAAGCUCGAAACAUUGGAUAUCCUCACAAGCCCCUCCCAUUCGAACACUUGCAGUGACUGGAGAUUCUUUAGCUGUCCAAUCACAUUGUCGAACUCGAUCUCUCCAAACCCACAGUCGUAGAGCAGUACGUGACACAAAUUGUCCAGGUUGGAGAACAUUGACCAUUCUAUUGGGAUCUUCACACCUUGUAAGUUCAACAAUUUCAAACUGGACGGAAACCCAGUUAGAAGCCGUAGGUUGGCACAGGUUAUUUCUAACCUCCAGAGUUGAGAAAGGGAUCUCAAGUCAGUUGGAUGCAUGGUGGGAUCGCAAAAAUCCACAUUAAACGACUGCAAUUUAUGAAGCCUUCAGAGAUAACUUAGGUUCGGACGUAGAAUUCGUCCUCGUUCAAAUAUGGAUGAUUGUUUAGUUGUUCUCACACAAGCAUACGUACAAUCACUUAUUAUUAGAUGAUUUAAACUAGUGAGGUUCGAGAGGUCGGGUACUGCCAGCAAUGAUGGAGACUUUAUCUUUAGGUCUGUUAAACUUGUGGGGAGGUCUGGUAGUAAUUGAAGCCUAUCACAAAAACUUAAAUCAAGUUCUUUGAGGUUAAAGAGCCGAUUAAUUGUCAUCGGCAAUCUACUAACCUUCAUGUUGUGCAAGUACAGAAUCUCCGAUUGAGAUAGUCCUGUGAUUUCACUAGGAUUUUUGCCCUCGAGAAUGUCACGAUCGUGGGCUGUUAGCUCCUCAAGAUUCUCCAAAGUCCCUAUACCAGUAGCUCUCUUAUCUUACUUUCCUGCAAAAUCAUGAGCUGCAACUGUCCACCAAUAGAAUGGGGUAAUUCUUCGAUAGGUGUAAAAGAUAAAUCCAAUUCGAGUAGCGAUUCUAGUCCUCCAAUGGAAUCUGGUAAUGCACUUACACUAGUAUAAUCUAAAUUCAAAUAAAGGAGUGAUGGCAACUUUCCAAUGGAAUCUAAAAGCUCUACAAGGUUGCAACACCCACUUAGAGACAGAUGCUUCAAAACUUGUAGCCCUUCUAUUGAGGGUGGAAGUUUUCUAAUGCCAUCCUGAUUUUCCAUCUUCAACAUCGACAAGGAUUUCAGACCAUCAAUUGCGUAUGGUAAUAGAGAAACGGGUGGAAUUCUCAGUAGUGGACAAUCCGUCCCAUCAAAUUCCAAAUACUUCAGGUGGCCUAACUGAUCAAUAGAGCUAUCAAUUUCUUCCAAUCUUGUACAAUUUUUUAGAACCAGUCUUUUCAAAUUCAAGGACUUGGAGAAGUUGGGUGUCCUCUUUAAAUAAUUGUAGCUUGCUAGAUAUAUGACUGUCAGGUUAUCAUUUACCUAUAAAACAACAAAUUAUUAAGGAAAAUAAUGGCAUAGGCAAAGGUCAACUCAAUGUAACAAAUGCAUACACACAUAAAUAAAAAAUUUGCCACCUCGUAAGAUUAUGCCCGUCAUCAAGUCUUGUGAGCUUUGAGUGCUACAAUGUUUUUUUGUUCCCUAAUAUUUUUUAGAGCACACGUUUAGACAUAAACCNNNNNNNNNNNNNNNNNNNNNNNNNNNNNNNNNNNNNNNNNNNNNNNNNNNNNNNNNNNNNNNNNNNNNNNNNNNNNNNNNNNNNNNNNNNNNNNNNNNNNNNNNNNNNNNNNNNNNNNNNNNNNNNNNNNNNNNNNNNNNNNNNNNNNNNNNNNNNNNNNNNNNNNNNNNNNNNNNNNNNNNNNNNNNNNNNNNNNNNNNNNNNNNNNNNNNNNNNNNNNNNNNNNNNNNNNNNNNNNNNNNNNNNNNNNNNNNNNNNNNNNNNNNNNNNNNNNNNNNNNNNNNNNNNNNNNNNNNNNNNNNNNNNNNNNNNNNNNNNNNNNNNNNNNNNNNNNNNNNNNNNNNNNNNNNNNNNNNNNNNNNNNNNNNNAUCAUUAUCUCUCCCUUUAGAUGGGAGUCGUAAUGGUAAAAAUUAGUUCUUUUGGAAUGUUGUUCAUUUCUCUCAAAUUAUGCAAAAUCAUCAAUGUCCCGUGUACAAAAAUGGGCGAACAUUUUGGAUGAAAAUGAACUCUAAAUACACAUAAUUGCAUGUUCAGAUUUUCUAGGCAUACCAGGUUAUUCUGAACCACAUUUGAGGCAGUCUUUGGACACCACACGACUGGCACACGACCCUCGCACGAUCACCGCACGAUCGUCGCACGAUUGCUGCACGACCGCCGACUGCUGCUGCACAACCGCCACACGAUCAUCGCACGACCACUGCACGACCACCGCACGACUGCCACACGAUUGCUGCACAACCACCGCACGAUCGCCACAUGAUCGCUGCCCAAGGAUUGUCGCCCAUAGCGCACCGACCGCGGGAGGGGCGGUGGCUAGUGAGCUGUGGGUGGUGGUCCUACGGUAGCAGUCAGUAGCGAUGGUCGGCGGUUGUGUGGCAACAAGCGGCGGUCGUGCGGCAAUUGGCGACGAUAGGAUGCCAGUGGACGGUGGCAGUCGUCAGUCGGUGGGCUACGGGCGGCAGCCACCAUCAUUGGCGGUCGUGCGGUGAUCUUGGUGAUUAAGUGGGAUGAUAUUGUCAUCUUGGUAGUCAGUUUGGGGAGCUAAGGAAUGAGUGUUCCUAGUUGUAACAAUAAUUUUGCUUCCUGGCCCAAACCGACUAUACUUACCAACAAGCUUCAUGAGUUGAUCCUUCUUGUCCAUAUCAUUAAGAAUAAGGAUGACUUUCUUAUCACGGAGUCUUUCUUCGAUCAUGUCCCUCCCCUCAUACGCAUCAAUAACUUUUGAGUGUUGAAUACCAAGGAUGUCACGCGACAAUUUCUUUCGCAAACUUAAAAUGUCAUUUUCAUGGAUAUCUAAAAAGCUGUAACUUUGGAAUUGGAAAGAGAUACGUUCAAAGAUAGCCUUAGCAAGAGUUGUUUUCCCAAUACCCCAUACCGUGAGUCACCACAAUCAUACAUCAAUCAUGGCCUACGCCUAACAACUUGAUAAUGGCUUCCAUCUAUUGUGGAUUCCUACCAAAUCAUCACACCCNNNNNNNNNNNNNNNNNNNNNNNNNNNNNNNNNNNNNNNNNNNNNNNNNNNNNNNNNNNNNNNNNNNNNNNNNNNNNNNNNNNNNNNNNNNNNNNNNNNNNNNNNNNNNNNNNNNNNNNNNNNNNNNNNNNNNNNNNNNNNNNNNNNNNNNNNNNNNNNNNNNNNNNNNNNNNNNNNNNNNNNNNNNNNNNNNNNNNNNNNNNNNNNNNNNNNNNNNNNNNNNNNNNNNNNNNNNNNNNNNNNNNNNNNNNNNNNNNNNNNNNNNNNNNNNNNNNNNNNNNNNNNNNNNNNNNNNNNNNNNNNNNNNNNNNNNNNNNNNNNNNNNNNNNNNNNNNACAACCAAGUGCAUGAUCCAGACAAUUUUUUUUUUGGCUUGUGCCACCCUUCUAGCAUGACAAAGGGUGAAAACAGACCAAAUGGCACAUUAAGUAGGGUGAAAACAGACCAAAUAACCAUAUUUUUCAUCUAUAUAUUGAGUUUUCAUGAUUAAGAAACAAUGAUCUAAAUUAAGAAAUGAAAGUAUAGAAAUUGUUAAUUACCGGUGAUCUUUUAAGUUCAAUCCCUUAAUUCCAGCGACCUCUUUUAGGGCCUCCUCCCACUGCUUGGCCACAAUUUUGCCAGACUGUUUCUCAUGAUUUUCUAAGGCCUUACCGUGUGAUCCAGUUCUGAGCUUAAGAUCUAAUGCAUCCACCUCAUAGAAGAUGGGCAAGAUCACUUUCUCACCUCUCUUCCUAUGCUCCACCAUGUGUGCGAGCUCACGAAGACACCAUUUGCUAGAAGCAUAAUUUUUAGAGAAGAUAGGUAUGUGGAUUUUUGAAUUAGAGAUUGCCCUUAGAAGCUCACCUCCAAUCUCUUCUCCUACAUGGAGCUCUUCGUUAUCUUUGAAGACACGUAUCCCAGCCCGAAUCAUGGUCUCAUAAGAGAGUCGAUGAUGGUUGAGCGAGAAUCGGGCCCUCUAAAGCUCAAGAACACCUCGUAUUCCCUCCUUGACGACGAUGAUGAUUCACCAUCAAGGGGGAGAGACUUUCCUUCAAGAUGUUCCAUUCCUACGAUCUUUUGCUGCGGAAGUGAUAUCAAACUAUUUUGCUCGUUCGAAAUUGCAGAGACCGAGGUGAGGGCCAUGAGCGAAGGCGAGAGACGGCCAGAGAAGAGCAAAGACCGAUGUGAGGGCCGCCACUUUGUGAUGCUGCAAUGGUCGGUGGUCGUGCGGCGGUCGUGCGGGGGUCGUGCGGUGAUCGUGUGACGAUCAUGCGGUGGUCGUGUGAUGAUCGUGCGGCGAUCAUGCGGCAGCGGUCGGCAGUCGUGGAAGUUGCAUAAGGGUAAGUGAAGAACUAAUAUAAAAAGACCAAGACGAAUUUCUGUUUUAUUUUUAUUUAUUUAUUUAUUAUUUUUUUUUUUUGCGUCUUGGUUUGUCAUUCCAUCAUCUCGAUGACCUGCUCUCACGUAUCUUCAACCCUGCACGAAAUGCUUUAAGAAAGGUUCUCGCUAUUGCUGAAAGAAGAAGAAAAACCCUAUGAGCAUAUGGUCUUGCAGCCAAAAUAAUUGGAAAACACCGUUAGUUGCAUAAAUUGUUCGGUCGGAUCCCCAUAUUCCAUGGCACUAGUUCAUAUUUCUGGUACAUCUAUCAAAUCUUCACAGGAACGAUUCUAUGGUUACUGGAUAUCAUGUAAAAGGAAUGAGGACAAAAGGCGAUUCAUUACAAUGACCUAUUUUGAGUGCAGAUAUCGAAUCCAGAGCGUGUUCAAUGCACUUUACCAAAUGAAAGGACCUCAUAAGAGCUUGCAUAACAGCUAUAAAGCUGUACUUAUAAGAUUAGUGCACCAUCCUAGACAUUAAUCUCAUCUUCAUUAAUUAUAUACAAUGCAUAUUGCUGGUCAGUGACCUGCCUAGACGAAUAGGCAAUUAUAAACCUUGCGUUCAGAAUAAUAACUGAAUAUAAUAUUCUUAGAAGAGACCUUUGAAUAAGAUGGAAAACCCAAGUUGAACUGCUUUUUCUUGAUAGUAUUAUCCUUGUAAAGAAUCAAAAUUAACGGACUCUAUUACAUUUUGGGAAUCCGUCCAUCCAACUGAAGUUCUCUUGAUUUUGUAUGCAAGGCCGGCUUCACGGAUAUAGAAGAGUAAUCCUGUUUCAUACUCAUGCAGGUAUCAUAGCAGUCAGCAUGAAGCAAGAUCCCACAUAACAUGAACAGUUACUGAAAUUGCACAAUCUGUACUAGUUCGAUCAUCAAACACUUAUGUAACAGAAUGUUACAAAGUAGUUCUUUCUGAAGUUAACGAGCACUUGAUUCUCCAACUGAGCCAGACAUGUACAUAAAUUAACAGAAAGUUCCUGCAAGCAAUAUAAUCUAUGAAAAAUAGUAUAUCAGAUUCAAACCACAAACUCAACCUUGUUUUGUUCACUUUUCAUCAAAACGUUCGUCGUCAUCUUCUCCAUCUUCAUCAACUUCUUCACUUUCAUCCCCUUCCUCAUCAUAAUAUCCUUCUUCUACAUCUUCAGCAUAGUUGUUGCUGUCAUCCUCUUAUCAUCAUCUUCAUCUUACGUGUCCACCUGAUUUGCCUACAAAGGUCAAGCACAAAAAGUAAGUCCAUAUCAUCUAAUUUAGUCUUGAGAGAGAUUAACGAAGCUACAAGAUUGCAGAUACAUGAUAAUGGCUAGCACUGACAGACAAAGAGAAGCAGCAAUAGCCAAAUAUGUGCAUCACUAUCACACUUUCAUUGUGGUUCAACAGCUCAACCAGAUAAAACAACGACAAGAAUCUGAGUUUCGAGCAUAACAUACAGAUGGAAUUGAAAAUGAGGGCAUUAAAUAUAUAACGCCUAACUGCUUAUUAGUAAAAUGAAGCAAGUGCAUGUACUGGAACUUCCUCUCUCAAUAUAGAGGCCCUCUGCAUUAGAAUGUCUCUCUGUGUUCACUGUUUGAACUACUCGCACUCUCCAAUCUGCUACCUUGAAAGCCAUUGGCAGGGCAGAGAGAAAAUGAAUGUUGAUAUUAUUAUUGAGAAAAUUUUAAUGCUUGUGAAUUCUUUUCACCAAAGCUAUGAUCUACUCUUGUUGAAUGAAUAUGUCAAGACCAUGCAGGAACACUGACCAGCCGCUCCAUUGUUUGCAACUGAAGAUAUGCAGCGAUCUGCAUCGACUAUAGGAAUUAGAUAGAGAAAAGAUGGUAAUGGUUAAUUGAUGAACGUGUCAUCUGAGUAAAUUCCUCCUUUACAAACUUCUCUGAAACAAUUCCAAUUACUGGUCAACCACAACAAAUAAGUACGUAAUACGUUCUAAUGCGACAUAGUAGAAAAGCAUUAAUCACCUGAUUAAAUCCGUCACAUGGCAUAGUUUCCCAUUGUUUGAAUUUCUUCAGGUUCGAUGUCUUCCGGUACAUCAGAAUACUGCAGUUUUCACUCCUGUCCAACCACCCUGAUGCAGACAAGUAGAAACGUCAAAAGGGUUUUUCUCGCUAAAUUCAACCACUAAAAGGAGUUCAUCUAUCUUCAUUGAUUUUGAGGGAUUUGAUGAGAGAACAACUGCAGUUAUACUCUGAAUCCUUAUGCUGUUAGACAUUUACUAGGUCAAAAGCUUUUGAAAUAACAAAGUUUUUUUAGUUGACCGAAUGGAUUUUGAUGAAGAAAUUCAAUGCUCCACUAGAAUCUACCAUGCCAGAUUACUAAUACUCAUGUUUCAGUUGAUAAGACAUUUGGUCAUUGAGAUCCAGCCGAGUCAAUUUAAACUAUCAUGUGAAGAUAGAAGGUAAGACUGAAGUGAAAAAAUGCUUGAACUUCAUGUGUGAGUACUUGGAUCAUAGAUAAUGGCAUGAAAGCUACUCAAAUCCACUUAACUAUGUUUUCAUAAUGUGCCCUUCAACCUUAGAUUCAAUUUAAAGGGUCAGAAAAGGUAUAGGCUUAGCCUAGUGGUCCAUUGUAGCUUUAAACUUAUGCUUGUCUUGAAGGGAAUACUUAACAAGCUACAUUAAAUGCAGCAAAACCAGCCUGAACAUUAUAAAUACAGGAUUAGCAUCUAUUUAUUUCCCAAGGUUAUGCAUUACUGUAUUGAAGUCGCAGCAAUAAAAACCUACAUAUCCUACUUUCCAUUUGCAAAACGAAAAAUAACGAAGGAAAGUCGUUAUACCGAACUUUGAUUGCCUUGGUGACUUCAUCACAGACGUUCCUUCUCACAGUUGCAGGGUGUAGAAAGAACUCCUUGUCUGAACCCAGAACCUUCACUUUGAUUGCCUUGAUGACUUUAUCAUAAUGACGGCUGUUGACAGUGGAAAGGAAGACGAAACUAUAAAUCAUUGGAAUAUGAUAGCCAAGAAUUGAAAAGAUAUGCAAUUUCUGAAAGUUAUUUCUUUAGUUUGAUCGUGGGAGGGAAGAUAAGCCUAAAAUCUCAGUAGAACAUGAUGAAUUAGGAAAGUUCUGAUCGUAUGAAUCUAAUUAGACACUCACACUGGAGUCUCGAAACACAGAGUACAUGCAGGAUUUACAGCUACAGUUGAUUUUGCCACACGUCCCGGAACAGUGCUGACAGACAGUAGUCCUGAUAAAAAAAAAUUAAAGAAUAGUACUUUCUAAUGAGAUAUAUCCACUCCAUUAAAGAUCCUACACCUAACUGCUUCAGCAAUCAAACAUGUAAAACCAUGAUUUGGAAAUACCCAAAGAAAAAUCUUUUCCAUUAUGAAAUUCAAUAUUCAGGGAAAUCACCACAAUGGAAUGAAACUGCAGGCCAUCCAUAUAUCAUAGUCAAACUUCUCAAAGCAACCCAAAAAUUUGUGGUCAAAUGUCAUGCGCUGAAAUACUGCAUCGUCACAACUGGAAAAUGGAGCACAACAAAAGGUUAUGCAAACCUACCUUGCAACUUAAAACUGCUAUAAUUUCGAGAUCAUCUGUAACCCUGGAGGAAGGCGACCUGUGAAAACAGGUUUUGCUGGCUCUGCUGACAUGGUUACUUUAACAUUCUUGACCCUAGGAAGAUUAACCGCCACCUCACUCACCUGCUGCUCAAACUUUCAAGCAGUACUUAUGUUGUUAAACUACUUUAGAAUCAGAAACCUGAUAUAUCAGGCAAAGACUCUUGUGAAACCAUAAUGAAGCAGAAAAAAUUUGCCUAGAUUAGCUCCUUGGAUACUUGGAAAUUGUACAUGCACAGAGAGAUUCAUGGAAGGAUGUCAAAAUGAGGUGACAAUGGUUUCUAAAAGUAAUUAAUGCACAAGAUAGAACAUUUAGUCCACUGAGCAUGUAUUUGGUGAUUGAUCAAGCAACUAAGGUUGUAUAAUUUACCAUGUCCUUGAUUGGACAUGCAUGUGUAGUGAGCUCUAACCGGAACAAUACUUGAGAAUCAAUGCCUAGACAUUGUAGGGUAAGGGUGUCAUUCCUUGCAGAUGUAUAAAGACUAAGAUCCCAUAUUGAUUCUUUAAUAACCUCUCCAAGAGCUUCAAUUGUCAGGAGGUCCUUAACAAAACCACAUGAAAAAGUCGGAUCAAUAAUUUGAGACAAGGCUUUAUUCCAGCUGUCUGAGCCGAAACAGCAGAAGUAUUGCUACAACUGCAAGAGCAGAUUCACAGAAUGAUGUCAAGCUUAUAGGAUGAACAACUAUUGUAAUAAAAAGAGAAAAAAUCUGAUGAGAAAAAGGGUGAAAACUUAGCAACAACUAACCAUUCAUUGACAGCACAUUAUAUUUGGCUUUUCAUCAAUUAAGAUUUUUAGCACUAAUAUCCUUCCGUAUCUCACUCAGGGCCAUUCAAAUUCUGUGUUGACAAGGGGUAGCCAAGAGUUGUUGGUUUGGGUGGGCUUCUCAAUAGUACAAGGCAUGUGUGCAAAAGCGUGCGCGCACAAACACAAGAUUGCUUUAAUUUUUUUUCUGUUGUAUGGUUUCUUGGCAAUUCCAAGAACCUAGUUUGACAGCAAGUCCCUUUUAUUAGGCCUAUAGGAUAAACCUCCAAAAUUAUCUUCAUGGCAGAACAUGUUGGUCAUCUUCGCAGGGAGUGUGAUAUCUAUUAGUUGAAGCAGAUCGAUAUGAUGGCACGAGCCAACGAUUUUACCAUAAAACCUGACCCAUUUUAUGGAACUCACAACUCAAUAAGUAGCAGAAUGUCAGCCCCAAACAACCAGUUGCAGAGAGAUGCAAAGAAUUGACCAUUGACAGCUCUGUAGAAAAACUUACUACGAUACAUUUAAUUGAAAAAAAUUCGAGAUAUUUGGCUUAAUAGAAAAACACUUGGCUGUAUCACCUGCACUCACUCCGCAAGAUCACUCUGUCAAAUUCUCAACAUUUCGUUGUAGGUUCUUGAAAAUAACUAUGAAUAACUGGGUUCUCAUAGCUCGGACAGAUAAAUAUUCAUAUAUAUAUAUAUAUAUAUAUCCAUUUGGGUAUAUCCCAAAUAAAACGGGCACCUAAUUAUCAAUGGAUUCGAACUAUUCAUGAAAUGGACCUUCUACUGAAGCAGCUUCAGCUGCAGACGAAUCUGAAACGGGCGGUUUGCGAGAUACCCACCGGGAGCCUUGAAGCCAUUGUCGCUGGAUAUAAGAGCUCGUAGUCGAUGCUUACAAAACAGAGUCUUACAACAGAAAGGCCCAGGUGAUGAAACAAGCAGUGGCAGUGUCGAUUAAAUGACCAUUGCAUGAAUAAGCGCUAAUGUUACCUGUGUCUGGUUGGACUUUUGAGCAGUACAAGGACAGAGAUGGAGAAGAUGGGCAGUGCAGGAGUUGCAUUUCCUAGAGAGAGAGAGAGCAAAGAGCCGAGAGAGCUCUUGCGGAAAAAGUGCGAGGUGGCAACUGCUUGUGAGCCUUACCGUUUCUGUUAGGAGAAGAAAAAGCGCGAGGCUUGUAUAAAUAAAAUAAGAAUUUGUUAAUUUUAAAGAGGAAAAUAGGAGACCUUUUUUCCAUCUUAAAAGAAGUAUGUUGCUUUGGACUCACAUCACACCACAGCACAUUUUUUCUUUACUUUUCUGACCGUAUUUUACAAAAUACUCAAUUGAAAACUAUAUAAAAAUCUACGUAUUAACAAUUGAGUAAUGUGAAAAUUAAAGUACAAAAGUCGCGUAAAUUAAAUUGAGUAAGAAAUAUAGUAAAAGUCAAUCCAUACAGAUUUUGUGGGUAUUAAUGGAUAUAAAUUAUGUACAUCUAUAUUUAUUUCUUAUCUAUAUAAUAAUACAUAACGUUUCUAAAAAUAACUUGUUUUAUUUAUGAAAUUCACGUCAAAAUCUAACUAUUAAAAGAAUAACUUAAGUUAUAGAUUCGUAAAUAAAUUAUAUUUGAUUCAACCGACAUCAAAGCUUUUUUCGUGUAUCUACUUCUCAUUAAUUAUCUUAAUUUAUGUAUACCUUGUUAUUUCCGUACUUAAUGCAUCUAUAUUACCAAGUAGGUAAAUACUAAAUUGAAUUGACAAAAAAAUGAGGAAAUCAACAUUAGAGUGCGAAAAAGGUUCGAUUGAAAAGUACGUUAAAUUAAUCACGGAGGAAAGUACCAAAAGAAUCAUAAACUUAUUGUAUUGGUAUCAACUUAGUCAUAAACUAUUCAAUUGGAUUAAUUCAAUUCUAAACUUUUCGCAUUAGUAUCAAUUUAGUCCUAAAUAUUAUAAUUGAACCAAUUUAGUCAUAAACAUUUUUACAAUGAUACCAAUUUAGUCGUGCUAUUUAGACGUAAACCUCGGGAGAAACUAGCACAAGACCCCACCACCAUGACUCUCCGCUUAAGACGUGUUAACAACGCAGAGAUUUGAACUCGUUCCCUCGGUGAUGAAGUAGUAAAGCCCAACCAAAUACGCUGCCCACUGGUGGAUAAAAAUUCUGACUUUUUAUGCACUUAGCAAUGGAUAAAAUUUAUCUGGGUGAAGUUACAAGAGAAAAAGGUAAAUAACAAUGCAUCUUUCAUUGAUAUAAUAAAGAACACUUAGGAUGUAUUUGGUACCCAUUAUGUUUUCGAAAAUAAUUUUUGUUUAGAAAUGAUUUUUUUUUAUUCUGUCCCUUGAAUGAGUUUCUAAGUAUUCGAAGGCGUUCGGUAAAUGCACAAAAUUUAUAUUCUUAAAUAGAAAUGUAUUUAGUAUGACCCUCAAGUUUUUUUUUGUAACUUAGAACUUCUUUUAAUUUUUUAAUAAUUUUAUUGCAUUUUUUCUCUUUUUUCCCUUUUCUUUUUUUUUUUCCUCUAGUCGUCGCUGGCCCCUGGUAAGGCUUGGCCGCACCUUGGCUAAGCGAGGCUCGGGUCGACAAGGCUCCAGCGACUGACUAAGGGAAGAAUAAGGAGAAGAAGAUAAGGAAAAGAAAAAAGAAAAUGCUUGAUUUUAAGACUAUUCUCGAGAAUAAAAAAAGUAACUUUUUUUUAAAUUGUUGAUUCUAUUCCAAAUCUAUUCUUAAGAACAAAAACGUUACCUAAUGGAUUUUUAUUUUUAUUUUAUUUUUUGUUCCAAGAAAUAAAAAAAAUAUAUAAUUAGAACUUUUGAUACAUUAUCAAAUAGAUUCUUAGUAAUUUUUUUGUGACAUUUCAAUUUUUUUUAAUAUAGUUGCUGGGUAUUUAAUCAUCCCCCUUUUCAGCUUUUUGCAGGCUAUUUAUUUUUAAUUAUAAUGCUUUGCCACGUGUAAAAAAUUGUGAGUGGUCUAAUUGGAUAGUUAUGUGCUACGUCCGUGGUUAACAAGACGCUUUGGUAUCACUGACCACUGAACAUUUCCCCGACAUUCUUGGACACCAUCUGCCAAUAUCCUCUUUGUGCACUCAUCUCGUCCUGUCCACUUUCGGCGACAUACCAUGAAAUGAUUGAUUUCGUUGAUGUUGUCCUCAAUUUCUCCCGUGAUUUGUCUGGUUUUCCAACAGAACACAGCAAAAGGUGAACUAAAGUGAAAAAGAAACCAUUAUUUAUGACUCAACAAGGUUCCAUUCUGAUUUACAGGUAUGUACCAUACAACACCGCACCCAAGUAGACCGAUAGCUGCACAUCCGAAUACCGGAAGAUGUCUAAUGACAGACUGAAAUAUCGGCGUCUCCAUUAUUUACCACCCAGUCGAUGCAAGCAACGACGGUGCGGUUUUUCCACGGUCAAACAAAAGUAAAGAGAAGGCUGUCCCCAUCCAUUGCAACAGAAUUCUUGAAACUUGACCACGCGACUACGUGUGAAGCAAAGAAGCUCAAAGUGGAGAAGAUAGGCGACCUUUAAUAAAAGUUCGCCUCGAAUCCAUCGGCAAGGCUUAAGUGCCAUCGGAUGGAGGCAAAGUGGCCGGGCCAUUCACAUUUAACGCCACCAUUGUCCUUGUUCCAUUCAUGCCUGCAGGUCGCAAGUCUUCAUCUUGCAGGACAUCGGGGAAACGAAAAAUUCUCGAUAUUGCGACUCCUAGGCGGAUGAUAUGGAAGGCUAUGCAGUUGAAAUAGCGCAUAUUUACCACGAAAGGAACGUACAUUGCCAUGUACAGAGCACAGAUAUGGUAUAGGGCAAUAGCUCCAAUCAACAGGACAAGAGAGGCGAGCCAGGUGCAUUUGCUUACGAGCACAUAGCCACCAGCCAUAAAUGCUACGGACAUUGUUCCGAGAGCUACCAACAGCCAUUUUAUUGCAAUUAUAUGGGCAGUUAGAGCAACGUAAGAGUCAUUCAAUUGUGCCCAAGACAACAUGAUAACCACACCUAUGGCACUGUACAUUGCGAUGGUGUUGCAAAUGACAAAUGCCUGGAACAUAUGCCUGUUCAGCAGUGUAGCCGUUCCCUGGUUAGGUUGAGAACUCUCAACGAAACCUCCAGGAACCGCAAAACCAGCUGCAAAGGUCACGGUUGCCACUAGCGUGGCGACGAUAGUUUGAGCAUUUGCCUGUCCCCUCAAUAUACCUCCGGUUUGGAGAGCAAGGACUGUAAAUUCCGCCAUAAUUUCUUGAUUUCUUGACUUAUAGAUAGCCAAAUCUUUACUUGUAGGUGCCCCGGCAGAUUUCAAAAUCAUUGAGGGUAAUCUCUAGGAAUGGGCCAAACAAGAAUAAUGCGGGGUUACUGUAAUUGGAAGCUGUCGUACAUACCGCAUGAAGAUAGAAGAGAUUCGCUUGAUUUUGGAGUUCCUAGUGAGUGAGUGCAUACCUUUUGAAGCGUAGUAUCCGUUCUUUUGAUUUGCUCUGUCGCAAUGUCAAGAGCCGUCAAGCAUUCGUUGUUGAGAAGCUUGCAAUCAACUCUUUUGUCCAGCACGAGAUCAAGCAGAACGACGGGGUGCCACGGCAAUGUGGCCAAAUGCAGAGGAGUGUUCCCGUCAUUGUCUCUCUCGUUGAUGAGCUUCUCUAGGUUGGCAUUCCCAAGUAUGUACCUCAAUGCCCGGAUUCUUCCAUGCUUGGCGCAGAUAUGAAGGNNNNNNNNNNNNNNNNNNNNNNNNNNNNNNNNNNNNNNNNNNNNNNNNNNNNNNNNNNNNNNNNNNNNNNNNNNNNNNNNNNNNNNNNNNNNNNNNNNNNCCACUGCCGAAGCAGCUCCUUUCAUUGCUUCAACAUGACCCUCUUUACAAGCAACGUGAAUCGGAAAAUGGCCGUCUCUAUCAUAUUCAACUGCACUCGAGGUGAAUUCUCUAAGUAGGAAUUUGAUGCCAUCACAGUAAUUGAUAUAUGCUGCCAAAUGAAGGGGAGUGCCUCGUCUAUCAUCUUUCAACUCAAACAAUCGUCGAUUUCUCCCACAUAUUUCCUGUAAACAUGCCUAGAUUAAGUGCAAAAUAAAACCAUGUGAAUAUUAAAUCACGCAUUCAUUUAACAAAUUAUUUUUUUAAAUAAUUGAUAGUGAUCCAAUAAAAUUUCACAUGAUUUUAGAGUACGAGAUCCUAAAUUCAAAUUUAUCUAGAUUUCUCAUUUGCCUCCCUAUAUAGUUACACAUUUUAAUCUUAAGCCAAAGUCUAAUCUUGCUUAAAGAAAAGUACUAAAUCAUUUAAAAUAUACCUGAAAAAAAAAACCCUAUACCUUCAGCUAAUAGCUUAAAUAUCUAAAACAAUUGAUAGUAGUCCUACACAAUUUCACAUGAUAUCAGAGCCACAUUCCGCCUUAGUUUGUGUGUGAAGCUCCCUAUUCAUCAAUGCCAUGUCUCGCUCUCAAACCAAUUUGCACGUGGGCCUAGUAUUCAUAUAAUCUCCCUUCACCUAUAAUUUAAAGUUUUAUAUUGAAAGAUUUAACAUUGUAUUAAAGGAGGAGGUGUGAGCUCCAUGUGUUUAUUUUACACUUUAAUCUAAGAUCAAAUUCUAACUUAUGUGUGAAGAAGAGUGUUAAAUCAACUAAAUAUUAAAUCACGUAUUUACUUAAUAGCUUAUAAAAAUUGAUAAUGGUUACAAAAUUUCACAUUAAAUUUUUGAAAAACAAAAAAGGUUAGUAUUAGAUGAGAUAUAUCUCUCCAUGUCUUCCUCUUCUUCCUUGCCCUCUCCCACUCUCGAUCUCACUCAGCAAGAGCCCUCCACUCCCUUUGUCGGUGCCAUUCCACUUGUUGCUGUCAUUGUCUAGGUCCCUCCAUCAUCUUCGCCAUCACUCCACCUUGGUCAUCUCUCUCUCUAGAUGGUCAAUUCAAUAAAUCCGACUAAUUUUAACCAGAAAUCACUUAAAUAGAUGCCAACCAUUUUACGUGACAUGAUCGAUGCUAACGUAUAUAAUUUUUAAUAAUAUUUUACUAGUUUUUUUAAAUUACUUAUUUAUUUAUUCUUUUUUUUUUGGUAAGAGGGACUUAUUUAUUUAUUCUUUUCUUUUUCCUUUUUAUAUUUUCUUCCUCUUUCUUUUUUCUCCUUCUCUUCUUCCUCUAGCUAGUCCCUAGACUGAGGGCUAGAGAGAUUGACCUCGUUGGCCUUGAGUGAAGCUCGCCUCCACCGACCACUGGCAAGGACGAGCCUCGCUCUCUCCUAGCAAGGCUCGACAUCACCGUUGCCUGCCACUAGGGAGUCUUGCCAAGUGAUGGCUCUGAUGAGCCAUGAGAUCUAGCAGGUUUCCUGCCUCUCUUCCUAUAGCCCAACAAGCAGAGCUUUUUUUGUCGAACAACAAGCAGAGAUCAACCCUUGCUUCCUAUUCACUCCAAUCUUCGCACUCUGACGAGCUGUGAGAAACACAUGAACAAUGCAACAACAGAACAUGAACCCCAAAAUUGUCAUCCACAUCCAUUACCUAGCAAGUGAACUUAAAAGGGUGAGUGAAACAAGCCAUCAUUUCAGUGUAUUCAACUUCGAUUUGAUGGCAACGGCUUGUCGUCACUAGGCAACCCUGGGUAGAUUUGGCAAGUUUAAACCUCACCCAAUGUGAGGUCAAGGCUUGUCAAGAGUGGACAAGCUUUGCCUGGCUGGUUGGAGACUAGCUAGAGGGAAAAGGAAUAAAAAAAAGUGACAAAUGGAAAAAGACAAGAAAAAUUGAAAAAAUAUUAAAAUAUUAAAAUAUUAUUAAAAAUUAUCAACGUCAAUGCCCACUACGUCACGUAAGAUGGGCGGUGUCCAUAUAGUGAUUUCUAACUAAAAUUGAUCAGAUUGGAUUAAAUUGANNNNNNNNNNNNNNNNNNNNNNNNNNNNNNNNNNNNNNNNNNNNNNNNNNNNNNNNNNNNNNNNNNNNNNNNNNNNNNNNNNNNNNNNNNNNNNNNNNNNCCUUAAGAUUUUUGGGUAAAUUUUGCCAUGAUCAAAUGUAGAGAGAGAGAGAGAGAGAGAGAGAGAGAGCAAUGAACGCCGGUGGUGGAUGGCAGCCUAUGGAGCAUUGGAGACGGCAACGUACACUGACGGAGCUUUAGACGCGCCGCCAUGCGAAGGUGGAGAAGAGAGGAAGAGAGAGAUAGGUGGGUGGGCAAUAAGGAUUAUUCCUUUUCUCUUAUUAAAUAAACUUAUAUAUGGAUAACCUCAUGUCAUGGUUGGCGUACUAGUUUGAGAAGCUGGGGAAUAUUCAGCUCAUGACUAGAGGCUAUCCAUUCAUAUCCUACCAGCUAUGAAUAAACUAUUUGACCUUAGGACCAUAUACACUGGUAAAAGAUUUAGACUUAACCGAUUUGUGAGGCUUAUAAGGUGUUUCAUUGGCCUCUAGGUAAUCAGACCUCUAUGCUCAUGCCCUAGGUUACAAAAUAAAAAAAUUAUGUAUAGAUGAUAUGCUUAUUUGUAACACGUAAAUUAAAAAGAUGGUAACGGGAAAUUUAAUUUCAUAUGGAACAAAAUAUAACAAUCAAAGAACAAGGCAAGGGAAAAAAGUAAGGCAGGCAAUCCAUGUUGUGUCGUAUUAAUUAUGUCAUAUCAAAAUAGGAGUAUAUCAAGAAUAUGAUUAAUCCAAACAUGACAAGUAUAAUAAACGUAUUGAAUUGCCUCAAUACGAACACGACAAACCUAAUAAAGCAAGUUGUAUGAUACAAUUAACAUAAUUAUCAAACUAUGUCAUUAUGUCAUGUAUUUACACUACAAAUAUACGUUAACCUUUGGUGUUAAUGUGUACAUCAUAAAGCUAAACAUGUUUAUACGUGAUAUGCCAAUUUAACAUGUUUAACACGCUGGUAAAUAAAUAACCGUUGUUCCACUUCACAUUACAUCUAGAGUUUAUUAAUGAGUUACCCUUUGUCAUCUUGUAUAACUUCUGCAUCCCUAAUGUGUUUUCAUCACGCCCUUUAUUCUUUUUAAAAUGGAUCUUACUUUUAUAAUCUUUUAAUAAUAAAAAUGUUAUUGGAGAUGAGUAUAAGGUGUUAAAACUUAGUCUUGUUUAAAAAGCCAACACACUAGCACUUUAAUUUAGAUGUGUGGGCUCGUGUCUGAACGGGUUCAGCAAGUAAUACGAAUUUUAUUGGGUCGUGAACGCGAAAACAUAGACCCAUUUAUGCCAAAUCAUUACUUGUUUGAUUGCGUGAGGUCUCGUAAGCGAAUGAUGCUGAGAAUUGCGAAGAGUAGAAAUUACCUAGUUUGCCGUGUAAGACAGCCGCAUGAACGGGCGACACGCCUUGAAUCCUUGAUGGAUCCAGCGGCACUGCCAACAGAAGCUUGAGAACCUCCAAGUCGCCACUCUCGACGGCCAGAUACAUCGGACAUUUACCUUGCUUGUUCUCCAAAUAUAUGGGUCGCAGGUCCUCACCUAUCAAGAUCCGAGCCACGCCAAGGUGGCCGUUCACAACGGCCUCAUGCAGGGGGGUGUUUCCCCUCUCAUUCUUCACUUGAACGAGAGCCCGCCGCAUCUCGCACCCACCAACGUCCGAUGCUCGGCCAAUGAGCACCCGGGCCGCGGGGGCCCUUCCGGUCCUGGCGGCCAAGUGAAGUGGGGUGUCUCCCCUGCAAUUUUUCCCGGCCACAGCCUGGUCGGGAAAGUGGCUGAUGAUGGCUCUCAGGAUCUCGUCUCUCUCGAGGCCCGCAGCGACAUGGAGCAACGAAUUUCGGGAGGGGCUCAGAAUGGCCCGCAGGCACAGACGUAGAUUGCGCUCGGAACAGCAACGUUCUACGACUCGGACGAAUUCGUCCGCAUCGCCUUGUUUUGCAGCAGUGAAUAGCUCCUGGGUCGUGGUCUCAUCGCACGAGACGGAGUCUUGCGUCAACAUCGCUUCCAAUCUCUGCAGCCCGUGUCUCCAGAAAGCACUCUCUUGCAUACUUAUCUCUACGGCCAUGACUUAUUGGUCUGAGGAAUGCUCUAACUUGGACUCGUAUGCAAUAACGAGCGUGGAGAGAGAAGUGAGCGAGCGCCAGAGCAGGGGCAGCCUUGAUGUGCUUCGUCAGCGACGGCAAGGGUGGUCAUCCUUGCUGACCUGCGCUAGGACCUACUUGAGGUUAGUGUGGAGGGCGUUGGUGGUGGCGUCGUUGGCCCGGGCGAGGUCCCUCCAAAUCUGGCUCUGCAUGAACAGCAACUUCGCCUGCUCCUCCAGCACCGAGUUGAGCUUCCCAAUCUUCUAGAUCUCCUCUUCCUUGGCUGGAGCAGGGGCGGCCAUAAUGUGCUUUGUCGGAGACGGUGGGGGAACAGCCACUUGACAAGUGCCAGAGCAACAACAAGCGUGAAGAGAGAAUUUGGGAUUCAAAAUUUGAAAGCCUUCAUCGAGGAGAAAGAAAUUGUUCGAGCUCUUGGAGGGAAAAUUUAAAGGGUUUGCUUCUCUUUCCUUCCUCCGGGAAGGAAAAAGUAAGAAGGAAAAAGUAAAUGUAUUGCACAAGAGACAGAGAGGAGGGAAGGAGGCUAGGGAGAGGAGAGAGAGGGAAGAAGCCUACUUUGUGCAGAAGAUGUCCAUGCCUCCAUGUGGUGCUUCAUAAAUGACCAAAGACCACUCUGACUUGGCGUUCCGGGACCACCCAAUAUUUUCUCAUUGGAGUUUAGUGGAGCAUCAAAGCAUGAGAGCCAUUAUUUUAUACAAGGGUAUGCAACCGAACUGGUUAUACUGGGAAAUUGGACCGGUCCACCCAGAAAAUAGGGUUGAGAACUAGUUCUCAUUGGAACCGGUCCGGGAACGGGUUCCCAAAAUUUUGAACCGGUUUAAACCGGUCGAAAAUCAGUUCUGAGUGAAUACCCACCCGGGAAUCGAUUUUUUAAGCAAAAGUCCAAAACUCUAUUUUCCCCCAAUUUCUAUUUUUACUCUUAUAGUCGCACGACAUUUUUCCUCUUGGCUCUCUCAGACGCACGCAACACUCCUCCUUCGUCAUUCCUCCUUCUCGCUCGCUUCUCUCCCUCGUCGGCUUACUGGCUCGCUGUUGCCCAUCGCCAGCUCACCGUUGCCCAUCGCCGGCUCCCUCUCGCACCUUCUGUUGCUACCAAAUUCCUAUGAUCCGAUUCAUAUUAUUGCAAAACCAAUAGGGCAAGACCAACCUCACCAAAUACUGUGUCCCCCUUGAGGACUCCGAGAAGCACAAGGUCAAGUAUGAGUUAGCCCCUCGUUUGCUCGAUUUUCCGCUCGUUCCUUGUUUCUCAAGGCUGAAUUGGCAUUUUGCUUGGCUCCAAUCUUUGUCUUCUCUUAUGUGUGUGGUUUGAUGGAUUUCUAGGUUCAUCGAUUGGUGGUCAACAAAGAUCCCAAAUUCACCAAUUUUGUCGAGGUUAGGAAUUUUCGAUAUUUUCUAUCUCAAAUUUGUUGGUCUCUUUUAUGCAGAUGCGCCGUUAGUGCACGUUAUACGGAUUUUUCCCAUUGAUUAUUUUGUCAAUUGGUGAAUUUUCGCUUAGCCACUCUAGAAUUGGGUGUCGACCUCAAUCUUCCCCUGAAAUGCUGCCGUGACGCAGUAACACCAUUCCCAACUUGGGCUAUUCUUGGUCAAUUGGGCAUGUUUUUUUUCCUUUGUCUGGUACGGACAUGCCACAAGAAGGUGGCAAAUUAGGUUCUCUCCCAUCUCUUUAAGCUGGUUACAAAUUAAGGAAUCACCUAUCAAAGUAUAGAGGAAACGAGUGUUGUAGAGAUAGAAGAAGUUCCAUUCUUUACUCAACCAAAUCAGCUGACCGUUGCUCGGGAUUCCUCCCUUUACAUCGAGAGCCAACGCAUGUAGUAUCUCUUCAAGGAUCUCAAGAUCCAAUUGCCGGCAUUAAAGCCCGAUUGAAUGCAAAAGAAUUUCGUACAUGUUAACAGCUUCUUGAUUGAACAAAAGAAGUAGUCACCAUCUAUAAUCAUCCCGAGAGGGAGAUCGAGAGAGUCCCAUGAAAUGUGAGAGUUUCUUACAGUAUUGUGGAAUCAAUGGAAAAUCUAGAUUGAUUUGCUAGAAGGAAUUAGUUAUUCUUUAAGUGCAACCAUUUGUCUCAUGUAUAAUUUUUUUUAGUAGAAUCCUAACAUUGUUGUAUAAUUUGUUUUCAGUGGAUGGAUCAAGACAAAAACAUAUCAACGGAAGUGGAUGGACAUAAUGAAAUGAGUCCGCUCAUGAAAUUGCCAUUCCAUGGAGCUGAUGAAGUGGAAUCUAUGACCGUAAGUGCGAUAAAUAAUGUGAGGGUACCUAACUCUUGUCCUCUUCAGAUAAAAAAACGAGCUAAUCAAUCAAAAGGCUUUGGAUAAUUUUUCAAGAAUCAUAAAUGAGAAAACACAUAAAACAGUUAGGGUGAAGUGCAUUCAUUGUGGGAUUGAGUAUGUAUAUAAUGUUGAUCAUGGAACAUCUACCAUGUGGAAGCACUUAAGAAAGUGGAAAAAGUAUCAUCAUACAGAUAAAUAGCAAAUGUUGUUUACACCAUGUAACAAAGAUGUGGCUAGCGAGGUAGAGGAAAAUACCACUUGUGGUGGUAGCAUCUUAACGAUAUGGAAGUUUGAUCAAGAACGUUGUAGGCACAUGCUUGCUCGGAAAAUUAUUAUUGAUGAACAACCAUUUUCCAUGGUUGAGCGUGUUGGUUUUCGUGAUUCUAUUACUGAAUUACAACCUUUUUUCCAACAUCUUUCAUAAUUUACGGUGGCUAGAGAUUGUAUGAACUUAUAUUUAAGUAAAAGAACUUAUUUAAAAGCUUACUUUGGUAAGCUUAAAUCUAGGAUUUCACUUAUGACGGAUAUGUGGAGUUUCAUUCAAAACUUGAACUAUUUAUGUUUCGUUGCAUAUUUUAUUGAUUUAAAUUGAUAGUUGCAUAAAAUAAUUAUCAAUUUUGUGAUGAUGCAUAAUCACAAUGGUAGGGAGAUUGGGAAAAUGGUGGAGAAAUGCAUUUGUAACUGGGAAAUAGAAGAAAAGGUGUCCACAAUGAUUGUAAAUAAUGCUAGUUCAAAUGAUGUAGCCGUUAGUUAUUUGAAGGAAAACUUUUCAAGAGAAGGGUUUUGAUUUUGAAUGACAAUAUUUUACAUAUGAGGUGCACUACUCAUAAACUUAACUUGAUAGUAAGAGAUGGAUAGAAUGAGGUGCGUGAUUCCAUUGCAUUUAUCCGAAACAUAGUGAGGUAUGUGAGGAGUUCUCUUGUAAGAGCCAAGACAUUCCAAUGUUGUAUUAAAAGUGAGAGGAAUGCAUAUAAUGGUUUGGUCUAUCUUGAUAUUGCCACUAGAUGGAACUCCACUUACAUGAUGUUAGACGCCGUCAUAGAGUUCGGGAAAGCUUUUCAAAGGAUGGAAGAAGAUGAUUUAUCUUUUUUAAGGAAGAUUGACAAUGAUUCUCCUCAAGAUGAAGAUUGAGAAAAUGCCAUCAUUCUUUCUAAAUUUCUAAAAUGGUUUUAUGAUGCAACCAAAAUGAUGCUAGGGAGUUCAUAUAUUACUUCAAAUGAUUAUUUUGAAAGUAUAACUAUGUUGUAUAAAUAUUUGAAUAGUGCGACGAAUUCUUUGGACCCAAAGCUUUAAGCUAUGGGCAUAAAAUUAAAGAAGAAGUUUGACAAGUAUUAUGGGAGUUUAGAUACAGUAAAUAUGAUGGUGUUGAUUGUAGUUGCAUUGGAUACUACAAGGAAGUUGAAUUAUGUAAAGUUCUAUUUUCAACAAAUUUAUGAUGGUAAAGCGAAUAUUGAUGAGAUGUAUGAUAAAGUGAAGGUUGCCUUGGAACGUUUAUACAAAUUUUAUGAGCAAUUUUUUAUUAGUUCUUCUAGUAAAGAAAAUUUUGGUAGUUCAAGUUUGAGUAAUAAUAGUAGUGCUUUCAAUGUUGAUACUAAUGACAAUGAGUGUGAAUUCAUGCUUGGCAUAAAAGCUUUCUCCACUCGACAAAAAGAGUGUUGGAUGAAAAUAAACUCGAGUUGGAUCGAUAUCUUGAAGUUGAAAGUGCAAAUGUCCUUAAUCUCGAUAUUUUGAUGUGGUGGAAGAGUAUUAGGUCAAAGUAUAAAAUUUUAUUUUUGAUGGCUCAUGAUUCUUUGUCUAUUAUUGUGACUAUAGUUGCUACAAAGUCGACUUCUAAUACAUUGAGACAUGUACUUGACAACUUUCAAAGUUCUUUGACUCCUAGAGUGGUGGAAGGUUUGAUGUACUCAAAAUUGGUUGAGAGCUAUUCGCAUGUCGAUUAAUAUUGAAGAGUACAUCAACAAUGUGGAAAAGUUUGAGGUGAGUAAGUUGUAUAUAUAUAUUUUUUCUAUCUUGUAAUUCAUUCGCCUAACUAUCUAUCGAGUGAAUGUUUUAUUUAAUCUCUUUCUUGGUUUUCAGAUUUGAAUUGUCUUACGAGGACAUUAUCAUUGAAAAAUAGACUUCAUUUUGUGGAAACUAUGGAAACUCUACCUUUGUGGUAAGUUAAUAGACUUUAUUAAAACAUAACUUUUGCAUAUUUCACUAUGGUUUCUUGUUGAUUUUUCUUUAUGUAUGAGUUUCAGGUCUUUGUCAGAGAUUUUGUACCACGUGGAUUGUCUCGCCUAAUUUCAUUUUUGAAUGAGGAGUUAUGCUGAUUUCGCUUUUGUAGGAGUUAUGCUUACAAUAAACAUUUGUUAACCGUUUUAGAUAAAUAAACAGCUUUAUGUAGUAGUUGUGGGAAUGAGACUAAUAUUAGACUCAUGUUUGUUGUAAUGUUUAUGCAAUGUUAGGAUUUUUGCUUUGUCUUAUGAUUUUGUUUAUGAUAAUUAGCCUUAUGAAUCCUUACUUUUUCAUUUAGUCAAAAAAAUUCAUGUACUUAUUGAUUACAAGUGCUUAAUAUUUCAAUUCAAAUUAAGAUGAUUACCUUAUUUUCUUGCUUAUUAAUGUAAAAUUCAAAGCCAUAUGGGAUGUUGGGCAGUUGCAAAACAGGUUUUAGUAGAAACAUGAUUGACCUUGGAACCAGAUCGGAAAAAUAUGAUGGUUUGGGUAUAGGAUGGUCCAAUGCAAACAUGGUUGGGUACAAUGUUCGAAAAAGGAGAACCGGUUAUAAUAAAGUCGGGCACAGGGUUCAGGUCUAGAACUUACCCACCCUGGACCGACCACCUCUACUUCUAUACACAAUGAUGGAGCCCACCAAGGCCAAAUGACCACCUCUGUGCAAAGUAAUAAUGUCCUCCUGCUUUUUCUAAAGCUACUUUUCCCCCUUAUUAGGUUAUAAUACAAUAUAAUAAAGUGCAUUGGACUAUAUUUUUGUCAUAGGAAAAUGUUUUUUCUAACGUGGAAUAUCAUAGCGUGGGUCAUCAAAAGUCAUUUCAUAUUAGGAGUGUGAUGAUCAUCUGAUUCUUGCUUUUCAUAUUCCAUUAAGUCCUGACCAAUUGAGUUCACAAGACAAUCAUUACUAGGGUUAAAAAGAAAUUAGGGUCCAGUCUCCCCUAUACUGUUCAUAAGUGCCUCUUGAGAAAAUUGUAGAAGUCAAUCAUUCAAAAUGCAUGAUUUUGAGGCAUUUUACCUUGAAAUUCGAUCUUAUUUGACAUCUUAAAACUAAAUUGUACAUUACUCAAACAUUACACUUCCAAAUCAUAUGUGAUUUGAUAUAAAAUAAUUUAAGAAUCUCAUUAAUUUAACACCAAUGAAAAUAGUUCAGAAGCGGCAAUGUUCCUUGGACAAAGUCAAGGACUUACUUGGACAAAUGGAAAGAUUUGGGACAUCAUAACAUGUAAACAAACGGUGGUGAAUUUUUUAAGAGGGGGCUUGAGAUAAACAACGACCAAUGAAGAUAAAUUUGUACUUCUUGCCAAGGUAGAGAUUUGUUGAUUAUGGCCCAAAGUUGUUCUCGUUUGAAUUGGAAUCAACAUGAGUUUGACUUGAUGUUUCUGGACACUCGACGUGUUUGUGGGGGCCGAUGUCCGAAAUCAUGUGAGCAAUUUGGUGAAGCUGAUAAAAAAAGACCAAGAGAUAUUAGUCUGAUACUUUCCAAUUGUAAUUGAUUACUGUACCUGAAAAAUGCAGAUAAUGCCGAACAAGGACUCGGAGAAAACAGGGAAAAGAGACAAGACUCCCUAAGUCUUCGUCUUCUCCUUAUUUAUCACGGAAACUUCUGUUAAGUGUGAAAUGAACCCAAGUGAUGCAGGUUUUGUUUGAAGUGAGCAUGAGAACGCGGAGACAAAUAGUAGAUUCACCAUUGUUUAAUCUGUUAAAUAAAAGCUCCAAAGAACAUUGAGCCAAUUGGAAGACGACCUGUCAUAUGUUUUUUUUUUUUUUUUUUUGGUCGUAACCUGUGAUAUGUUUGACAAGUUAAACAUCAGCCAAUGCAUUCCAAGUCUUUGCUGGAGUCCAUGUUCUUUGUAAGGUGAGAUGGUGAUGGAAGUCGCUCAAAGUUGUGAAGAACUAAUAUAAAAAGACGAGACUUCUUUUGAGCCUAAUAAUGUUUCUUUUCCUCAAUUUUUUCGCUUCUUAGUUAGAGGCUUUCCGAGUUUGAAUCUCUCUCUGUUCACACUCUCCAAUCUGCUACCUUUACUCGAAAGCCAUUGGCAGGCGCGCAGAGAAAUUGAUGCUGAUCACUAUUCUCGAGAAAAUUAUAGUGCUUGCCAAUUUUUUUUCUUACUGAAGCUGUGAUCUACUGUAGUUGAAUGAACGUGUAAUGGCCGUGCAGGAACACCGACCAGCCGCUCCAUCGUUUGCAACUGAUUGUAUGUGGCAAUCUGCACCGACUAUAAAACUUAAAUAUAGAAAAAAUGGCAAUGGUUGNNNNNNNNNNNNNNNNNNNNNNNNNNNNNNNNNNNNNNNNNNNNNNNNNNNNNNNNNNNNNNNNNNNNNNNNNNNNNNNNNNNNNNNNNNNNNNNNNNNNCAUGCCAUCCGAGUAAAUCCAUCUUUGCAAACUUUUUCUGAACCAAUUCCAAUUACUGGUCAACCAUGACAAUGAGGGACGUAAUUCAUUUGAAUGUGACAAAGUAGAAAAGCAUUAAUCACCUGAUUAAACAUCAGAAUACAAUUGUUUUUGCUCCCCGGUCCAACCACCCUGAUGUGCAUAAGUAGAAUCGUCAAAAGGAGUUUUCCAGCUGAAUUCAAUUACUAAAGGAGCUCAUUUAUCGUCAUCAAUUUUGAGGGAUUAGACGAGAGAACAACCGUGUAUAUACUCUGAAUCCCCAUGCUAUUAGACGUUUACUCAGGUGUCGACUGACUAUGUUUUAUCCCAAAACAACUGUUUGACUGAUUCUGGAUGCUUCCACAAAAAUACCUCCCUCGCACAACCGUUCUUCAUUGUAGUUCAUCGCGCCUCCAUCUUCUUACGCAGUGUUUUCUACGAACCUACCUGAGUUGAUUCGUGGGAAUUCUUCAAAUGCAUGAGAACUCGAGCCUAAAGCAAGAGAGGCAUUCUUCUAUACGCAAUGAUGGAGCCCAGCAGGAAUUGAAAAAAACAGUUGAACGACAACCUGAGGAAAUGUAAUAAUGCCCUCACUUUUCCUAAAAGCCACCUUUUUUUCUACCCUUAUUAGGUUGUUGUAUAAUGAUAUAAAGUGUGUUGGACAAUACUUUCGUCAUGGAAAAACAGAUUCUCUGAUAUGGAAUAUGAGAGAGUGGAUCAUGAAAAGCCGGUUCAUGUUGGGAUUGUGAUGAUCAUCUGAUUCUUGAUUUUCCAAUUCCAUUAAGUCAAUUAACUUCACAAUACAAUCAUUAUUAGGAACAAUCAAUCCUGACAAUAAUUGAAAAAAUUAAGAUCAAAUCUCUCCUAUGCUGUUGAUAAGUGCGUCUUGAGAAAAAAGGCUGAAUUCAAUCACUCAAAAUGCAUUGUUUUAAGGUAUUUUACCUUGAAAGUCAACCUGGUUUGGCAUCUUCAAAAGUAAAUUGUACAUUACUAAAGUAUAACAGCUCCGAUUCAGAGAUGAUCAAAUAUGAAACAUGCCUUGUAGCAAAAGGAUUCAAUAACCUUAUCAAGUGAAUGCACUCCCUUUAACUCGGAAGAACAGCGGCUAUGCAGGUCAAAGCAUUAAAAGAAGUAAUGCUUUUUCACUAUCUUCCAAGGUUUGUGGCAGUACCUGAUUCAAGUGCAGCCAUUUUUGGAGCAGUAUCUAAGACUAAUGCUCUGGAAACUGGAGAUUAAACCUCAGCUUCACCAAUUGUGAGAGAGAGAGAGAGAGAGAGAGAGAGAGAGAGAGAGAGAGAGAGAGAGAGAGAGAGAGAGAGAGAGAGAGAGAGAGAGAGAGUGAGUGUGUCCUUGCGUGUGUAAUAUAAUUGUUUAUUUGAGAGUAACGAUUCAAGUUGACGGAUAAUGGAUAAUGGCACCUGCCAAUGUUCUACAUGUAUUUUAGCUAUUACAUCGUUUCCACAACUUCACUCGAUGUCGAAUGAAAUUUGAGGGAGACGUGACCGCUUGUUCCAUCCUCCAAGACCUCGGAGUUUAUCGAGCUCUUUAAUGUAGAAAUAGUUGCGAUUUUUCUCUUACCUUCAAAUUCACAUACCAUCUUGCUUUGUGGACUAAGAUCUCGAGAUAAAUCGGUGAGCAGUCGAUGAAUGAAUCAAAAGGAACCCCCUGGUGGGGUUUUCUUGGGCAAUAAUCUCGUGCAAAAAUGCUCGUUUUGACAGGGGUUUCUCUCUUCCAUUCUUCUCUCUUUCAUACUGCUUUUACCCUUAGUUGUAUGGCUGCCUAUGCCCGCUCUUUUCGAUUCACAUCAUAGCACAGCAAUACAUGGGAAAUUUCUGCGAAGCGCAAAUCUAUUCUUCUCUCUUUCACACUGCUUUUACCGUUGCUUGUACUGCUGCCUAUGCUCGCUCUUUUCGAUUCGCAUCUUAGCACAGCAAUACAUGGUUUCUGCGAAGCCCAAUUCUAUUCUUCUCUCUUUCAUACUGCUUUUACCCUUCUUAGCACAGCAAUAUAUGGGACAUUUCUGGAAGCACAAUUCUAUCCUUCUCUCUUUCAUAUUGCUUUUACGCUUCUUAGCACAGCAAUAUAUGGGAAAUUUCUGGAAGCACAAUUCUAUCCUUCUCUCUUUCAUAUUGCUUUUAUCCUUCUUAGCACAGCAAUAUAUGGCAAAUUUCUGGAAGCACAAUUCUAUCCUUCUCUCUUUCAUAUUGCUUUUACCAUUGUACGGCUGCAUAUGCCCGCUCUUUUUGACUCGCGUCUUAGCACAGCAAUACAUGGGAAAUUUCUGGGAAGCACAAGGCGGACGAUGCUAUCAACUCUAGCCAAAAUUGAAGCAUUUUUAGCAUUUUCUUUUUGUUCAUGUCGGAGAUAAAUGAAGAGGUCCGGAAUAUUGGAAUGAAAAUUCUCUUCUAGAAAAUUGAGGGCGGAUUCGUAAUUUCCGCCAUUUUUCGCCCCAACACGCCAAAAAUAUAUUCGAAAAUAUGGAAAAUGUCCUUGCGGGAGUCGUAAUUGGACAUGCACUCCGUUUUUAUGCGGAUCAUUAUUGAGUGGUUGAAGAAGGAAUUUCGAUCUCACCACAGGCAAUUGACAUGGGAGCAUCUUAAUCUAAAUGUGUAAUGUGCAUUGCAUUAUCUCCAACACUUUUUGACAUGACCAUUCAAUCAAUGACAGAGUUCGUUACCACAUAUUGACUAGUGCUCUAAAUGCCCAACAAUUGUUAUUAAAACUGCAUGAAAUACUCAAUAAUUAAAGGCAAUGUGAUAGUGAUACCUGAAUUCUUGUUUAAGGUGCAUUAUCAUAAUUGAACUUUAAAUAGAUUUACUUAGGUCUAACAACUUUGUUACAACGUGCAAUGCAUUUCUGAAUUUUCAAUUGAUUCAAUUAGAACGCUAAGCUUUUGUUUAUAGUGUUUGUAAUUGAUUGAUCUUUGGAAAUUCAGCUUGCUCUUGUGAAAUUAUUUUAGUAUGUUUUAUAUGUCAUACGCCCACUGAUUAUCCUCAAGGAAAUUUCUAAAAUGGACAACAAUCUACAACAGCCAGUAAAUUAAAAAUAAAAUAAAAUUAUACAAGUAGAUUUCGCCUGUAUAACAAUUAUCUGAAAUUAUAGAGAAAUGAUACACAUUCGCUUUUUAUGUGUGAUUCAUUUUAAACAAACAAAUUUGCUUAGUCCCUUUGAUCAUUCUCAUUCAUUAUAUCAGCUAGUGAGAAGUGCAGAGGAUUUUGCUGUUCUUUUCAAAGCACAGCAAACAAAUCCAUUCUCCAUUUCACAUGAUCUCCAUUGAAUCAGGAAGAAGGCACAUUGCUCUGUCGAGUGAGAGGUUUAUCCUAAUCCGAAACCCUUUUCAAACUUAAGAUGAUACUGAAUAUUUAAAAAUAAUUUAGGAAUCUCGUUCAUUUAUAACCAAUCAAAAGUUUUGGAGUGACAAUACUCCUCGGGCAAAGUGUAGGACCUACUUGAUAAAUUGAAAGGCCGGGCAUAUCAUUACAUGCUAACUAACAAUGUUGAAUUUUAGGACUGAAAAUUCGAAAACUAGUGGUCUCACUGCCCCUAGAUUUGAUGAUACGUUAUUUGACGAAAUCAAUUGGAUUUGCAAUCUCCAAAGAGACUCGACAAUUAAAUUGAAAUUCCCGUUGGAUGAAAAGGUUAAAAGCAUAGCCACAAGCAUUUGCCUUUUAUUGAUCGAACCUUGUUGCUUCGAUGUUGGAAACAGACUUAAGGUUUUUUCUCCUCGAUAUGUCCCUAUGCAACAGAAGUUUGAAGGAACUAUCAGCUGUCGGCAAACUGAGUAACUUCCUUCGGGGUGCAUGAAACUUUUUAUCGAAAUCGUGGACAAUCUGUUGCAUACAUCAGAAGACGGAUUUGCAUAUAGAUGAAUCGCACAAAGGGAUAUCACUUGCUUACUUCAAGCCAACUGAAAAAAGAGUGGAAAAGUCCUGGCAGCUCUAUAUCAGUUUCCUUAAUAGGGUCAUCUAUUAAAAUAUAUCUCGAAUUUGAACAUGUUGAACAAAGCCCAACUGAUGAGAAUGUGUGAAUUUGACCAUCUGCGAGUCAAAAAUUGGCGUACGAGAAUUGGCUGGCCGAGAUUUCAAAAAGCGUGAAGAAGAAUCAAUUACGCGUGACUUUGUUGCCUUCUCCAAGUCCAAUUUAUCCUGCGUGUUGGAUUCUUUGGCACGCUGAAUUUGUUGCCGCAGAAGAAGGGGUUCACACACACACAGAGAUACGUGAUCAUAAUUGUACUUUAAAUUGAUUUACUUAAGUCCAAGAAUUUUAUUCUAAUACGCAAUGCAUUCAUGCUUUCCCAUGAUUUGUUUAGAUGUCCUACACUUUUGUUUAGUAUGUGAAAUUGGUCCAUCUCUAGAACUUUAGUUUGUUCAAUUAUGACUCUUGAAAUUAUUUUAGAAUGUUCAUAUGUCUGACGCCGUUUAUUACCCAAAGGAAAUGGCUACAAUGGACAACAAUCAACUGAAGCCGCUGGAUAAAAAAAUUAUACAAAUGGAUUUCGUAUGUGUAAUAUAUAUCCCAAAUGAUAAAAAAAUAGUAGACAUUCGUUUCUUAUGUGUAAUUCAUUUGAAACAAAAGUUUUGCUCGGUCACUUUAAAUGGUCAUUCUUAUUCAUUAUCUCAAAAUGUCAGAUUAGUAUGGAUUUUGCUGUUCUUGUUAAAGCAUCGCAGACAUUCCGUUCUCCUUUAACAUAUUAUACGCUAGGAUCAGGGAGAAAGCACAUUGUUUUGUCAAGUGAGAGGUUUUGUCCUUUUCUGAAACCUUUUUUGAACUUACGAAUGAUAGUGAAUAUUUGAAAACAGUUUAGAAACCUCAUUAAUAUAAAACCGAUGAAAAGUUCAAGAGGGACAAUGCUUGGGCAAAGUUAAGGAUUUAAUUAGACAAAUUGAAAGGUUGGGGACAUCAUAACACGUAAAUGAACAAUGGUGAAUUUUUUAAGACUCUUAGUGUCCUUGGACUUGGUUAGCAUUUGCAGUGAAUGAGGAGACCAAGGAGGCUCCAAGAGAUAUGAGAUGAUAAAUUGGGAUUUUCGCCAAAGUGGAGAUUUAUUGAUUAUGACUCGAAAUUAAAUUUGUUUAGUUUGGAAUCGACACUAGCUUCAUUUUCGGACACUCAAAAGUGUUUGUAAGGGCUUGGAAAUGGAGACGGACGACUGGAGGAUGCAAGAAGCCGGCCCCCCUAGCCCUAGCACCUGCACAAACCGGGCAACUAGGCGAGGACUUGGCCAAGAAGUGGCAGGGUUGCCGGACACCCGGCAAACCUCCUAAGCGAGAAGCGUUUUCCAACAUAGUGCCCAAGUGUCCGGGCCUAUUUUGGUCAGAUACCCACCCCCUAUUUUUAUGUAUAUUUCUAAAAGGGAUUUAGGAAGAGUGAGUGAGAAAACUCCUUUCUUACGGUUGAUUCUAGUGGACUCGGGUUUUAUCUAGGACCCUUGUGAGUAAAUGUGAUUAAACGAUUUUAAUCUUCUCUUUACCGAUUAUAGUAGAACCAUUUCAUUGAUAUCUCUAUAGAGCACACCGCCAGACAAUAUAAAACUUUUGUGUUUAGGUUUAAGUUUUACAAUUUAAUUCUCGCUCGAAUCAUUUCAUUUAUGUACCUGCAUCAGUCAUGACAAUAGUUGAUGCAAAAUUCGAACUAUGCAAUUCAGCCUAAAUAAAUCUCCCAAGAAUAGCAAGGUUGGUUAAACUAGGAGUGAAAUCUCAUUCUACCAUUCUGGACAUAGUGAGCGCAUAAGAGGAUGCUGUAUUUUGUUUUUACAUUGAAAUCGCGUGAGCAAUUUGGUGAAAAGGAUAAAAAAAGACCAAGACAUAUUAAUCAGAUACUGUUCCACGCAUAAUUGAUUACCGUACCUGGAAAAUGCAGAUAAUGCCAAACAAGGACUCGCGAUCAUGAUUUUCCUACCUCCAUAGGGAAAAGAAAAUAGGAAGAAGAGACCGACUGCCUAAGUCUUCAUCUUCUCCUUAUUUAUCAAAGAAACUUCUGUAAAAUAUGAAAUAAACCCAAGUGAUGCAGGUUUUGUAAAAGUGAACAUGAGAACAUGGAGUCAAAACAGUAGAUUCACCAUUUUUUAAUCUGAAAACAAAAGCUCUAGAGAGUAUUCAGCCAAUUGGAACAAGACCUGUCAUUUGUUUAACAAAAUUAAACAUCAGCAAAUGGAAUCCAAGUCUUUGCUCUAGUCCACCCUCUUAGUACAGGUGAGAAGAACUAAUAUAAAAAGACCAAGACUUCUUUUGAGUCUAAUUAUGUUUUUUUUUCCUCAUUUUUUUCUUUUUUGCAUCUUAAGGAGUCCUCUCAUCUAUAUUCAACCUUGCACGAAAAAAGAUGAAAAACCCUAUGAGCGGAUGGUCUUGCAGCCAAAAUAAUUGGAAAACACCGGUAGUUGCAUAAGUGGUUCGGUCAGAUCCACAUAUUCCAUGGCAUUAGUUCAAAUUCAUGCGACUUUUAUCAAACCUUCACAUGAACGAUUCUAUAGUCGUUGGAUAUCAUGUAAAAGGAAUCAGGACAAAAGGCAAUUCAUUACAAUGACUUAUUUUGAAUGCGGGUGUCGAAUCUGGAGUGUUCUACUCACUAGACCAAAUAAAAGACCUCAUAAGGGCUGUAUAACAGCUUUAUACCAGAAUUACACAUAGAGAAUGGCCUGGAGACCAAAUUAAAUACUAUAAUUAUAAGAUUGGUAUACCACCCAGGACAUUAAUCUUGUCUUCAUUAAAAUAUACAAUGCAUAUAGCUGUUUAAUGACCUGCUUAUACAAAUUGGCAAUUAUAAACCUCGUGUUCAGAAUGAUAACUAAGAUGGGAAGCCCAAGUUGAAUUGCUUUUUCUCAAUAAAUAUCCUUGUCAAGAAUCGAAAUUCACAGACUCUAUUACAUUUUAAGAAUCUGUCCAACUAAGGUUCUCUUGAUUUUGUAUGCAAGGCUGGCUUCGGGAUAUAGAAGAGUAAUCCUGUUUCAUACUCAUGCAGGUAUUAUAGCAGUCAAUAAAUCACGAUCCCACAUAACUUGAACAAUUACUGAAAUUGCACAAUCUGUACUAGUUCGAUCACCAAACACUUAUGUAACAAAAUGUUACAAAGUAGUUCUUUCUGAAGUAAACAAGCGCUUGGUUCUGCAACUGAGCAAGAACAUGUACAUACAUUAACAGAAAGUUCCUGCAAGCGAUAUGUCUAUGAACAAUAAUAGAACUGAUUCAAACCACAAACUCAACCAUGUUUUGUUCACUUUUCAUCAACACAUACUUCGUUGUCUUCUUCUCCAUCUUCAUCAACUUCUUCACUUUCAUCUCCUUCCUCAUCAUAAUAUGCUUCUUCUUCAACAUAGUUGUUGCUGCCAUCGUCAUCAUUUUCAUCGUUAAGUGUCCACCAGAUUUGCCUGCAAAGGUCAAGCGCAAAAAAGUACAUAUCAAUGCAAAAUAACUUGACACUAACGAAAACUCUUCCCAAGCCAAGACCCCAACUUAAAUUUAUAGCACAUAGCAGAGCAAAUUCUGGACGAAAUCAUCUAAUUUAGUCUUGAGAGAGAGAGACUAACAGAGCUUACAAGAUUGUAGAUAUAUAAUGAAAGCUAGGACUGACAAACGAAGAGAAGCAGCAACAGCCAAAUCUUGUGUAUCACUAUCACACUUUCAUUGUGGUUCAACCAUUCGACCAGACAAAACAAUGACAAGAAUCUGAAUUUCGAAGCAUAACAUACAGACAGAUUUAAACAUGAGGGCAUUAAAGAUACGACACCUACCGCUUAUAAAUAAAAUGAAACAAGUAAAUGUACAGGAAUCUUUUACAUUCUGAGAUUCUUACACAAAGUGCUAAGAGAAAAUGGAAAAAAAGAGAAAAGAGAGCAAGCACAUAUAGAGACUUUUUGAGUUUGAAUUUCUCUCUGUUCACACUCUCCAAUCUGCUACCUUUACUCGAAAGCCAUUAGCAGGCACGCCGAGAAAUUGAGCUAGAUUAUUAUUCUCGAGAAAAUUAUACUGCUUGCCAAUUCUUUUCACCAAAGCUUUGAUCUACUGUUGUUGAAUGAACAUGUAAUGACCGUGAAGGAACACUGACCAGCUGCUCCAUCAUCUGCAACUGAUCAUAUGUAGCAAUCUGCACCGACUAAAGGAGUUAAAUAUAGAAAAAAUGGCAAUGGUUGAUUGAUGAAUGUGUCAUCCGAAUAAAUUCCUUCUUUACAAACUUUUCUGAACCAAUUCCUAUUGCUGGUCAAAUAUGACAACGAGGGACAUAAUUCAUUUGAAUGCGACAUAGUAGAAAAGCGUUAAUCACCUGAUUUAGACGUCAGAAUACAGCAGUUUUUGCUUCCCUAUCCAACCACCCUGAUUUGCAUAAGUAGAAACGUCAAAAGGGUUUUUCCAGCUGAAUUCAACUACUAAAGGAGCUCAUUCAUCUUCAUUGAUUUUGAGGGAUUAGACGAGAGAACAACCGCAGAUAUACUCUGAAUCCCUAUGCUGUUAGAAGUUUAUCAGCACAACAAAGGAUGCUGGAUGAGGGGGAAAUCAGAGUAAAAACUUUUAAAAAACGACGAAUUCUUUUUUUCUGUUGACCAAAUGGAUUUUGAUGAAGAAAUUCAAUGCUCCACUAAAAUCUACCACUAAUACACAAGAUUCAGAUGACAAGACACUUGGAUUAUCAAAAUCCAGUAGAGUCAAUUUAAACCAUCAUGAGAAAAUAUAAGAGGUGAGAUUGGAGUGAAAAAAUACUUGCCAUGCAUUUAUGAGUAUUUAGACAUGCCAUGAAGUGACCUUUCCUGAUAAUCAGGUCACUGAAUAUAACUACCAGGUAACCUGGUCAUUGUUAGAGUGGGAAAGUAGUUCGCUCCAGGCAUUACAGUAAAACUAACGUACUGCAUGAGCUUCCAUUUUUCGCUGAAAUUCGCAGCCAUAAGGAAUACCUUGAUGGUAAAGCAAACACAUCAAUGGAGUUUCCAACACUAGAAAAGAAUUUUGGAAUGGAAGGGUCUUAUUAAUUACUAAAGCUUGCUAAACACAACCUGCUAUUACCUUUUACUCUGUAUCAAGCAUUGCGAAACAUUAAGGUGUUUCUGACCUUUUACAUAGGGUCGACUCUUCUGAACACUUAUGCCAAUUUGUGCCCCAAGAUUAUACAACAGGCAUUUGCCUCGUAUGGAUUGAAUCUCGUUGCUUUUAUAUUUGAAGCAGAUUGUUUUCCUCGCUAUAUCCCUACCCAACAGAGUUUCGAAGGAACUAUCAGCUGUUGCCAAAUUGAGUAGCUUUAAACCAAAUGCAUAAGAUUUCCGAAUAAAAUCUUGGACAAUCUGCUGUAUACAUUAAAAGACGAAGUUGCAAAUAGAUGAAUUGCAUGAAGAGAUAAUGAAGAAAGAGCGCACAAGAGUCCUAGCCGUGCGAUGUCGCUUUCUAAAACAGGGCUGUCGACGAAUUGAUUAGAAGCAAACAAUACUUGUCGAGCAGAGUUAAAUGUGCAAGAGACGUAAUUCAGAUUUCUCAGCGACCAAGGCAUAGCGGUUUAAACUUUAACAACCAGGAGAUUGAUGGAAGCAACCAAUCCCUCAGUUGUUUAAAAAUUUUAUGCUCAGCAUUGGUGUGAAGGGGUAAUAGAAGCGAACCUAUGUGAUUAAAUCUAGCAAUACUUCUCUAUCCUAUUAGAAUGAAUAUGUACGCAGUAAGAUUGUAUAUCAGGCAUUCCUGUCAGGAAGACAGAACUUUCCAAUCAUUAUAAUAGUUGGCGGUCAAAAGAGGUGGCAAGCAAAAUGAAAUUCACAGGAGUGGGUGAAGGUACACGCAAUCAAUAUCUGUCCUGUGCUUAUUAUUGAAGGACAUUGAAACUCUAGAUCUAUCAAUGCCUAAAUUUGAUUGAAGCACAAUAAACCUAAAAAUAAAUGGUUAUACUACUAAAGUGACCGUAUAUAUAUUGAAUUUUAAUGCGGGUUGCUUCUGGAAAUGACACCAUACUCCUGCAGGUGGUGUAGUUUUCCUGUGAGGAAAAAACAAAGAUCACUACAUGGUUCAUUUUCAUUUCCUCCUUUUGUCUUUAGCAGAUCUACUUCAAUAGCUAAGCGAAUCUUACUUAGAAUAGAACACCUUUGCUUUCUACCAUCUAUAUGAAAUUUAUACCCCAAAUUGAAUUCCUAAGGGUAUGUACAUUUCGUGUUAUGCUUCACUUCAUAUAUAUGCUCAAAUACUAGAACACAAAAUUAAGAAACCAUUAAAUGAAAAUGGCUUUCAAAGAAUUUCAUCGUUUAUUUGUUUUGGGUGUUCAAAAUACAGUAACGGAGAAUUGACCGUAAAUAUAGAGCACAAAGGAGAAUAACAAAAGCUGCAGCAAAUUACACCGAGCGAACGCAACAUUAUGCUCUCACGCAACCUUUGACUUGCACUGGACACGGUCUCAUAGUCCGGACCCAGCAUUGGGCUUUCAGCAUUGGGGAUGCUAGCAUUGGGCAAAUGGGCAUUUAAAAACACAUACCAAACACCAAAAAUUUUCCCCGAGGGGCUUUGGGCUCCCAAAGCCCCUUGGGAAUGCCCAACCAAACACCCCCUAUGACUCCUUGAACAACUUGACGUGUCAUAACAAAAGCUCGAAAGGGCAAGCCACUAAAACCCGGGCAUCCUAUAGCAGGAAAAUUUUCCAAAAAAUACCUGAAGUACGGUCGUGUUUGCGAAGGAAAACUCUAGAAUAAUGCUUGCCUCGAAGAAGUCCUGAAGUUGAUGACUUCAUCUCAACUGACCCCGGCUCACCAGUAUCUCAAAUCCUCGCGUUUCCUCGUUCACAGCUACCACGUCUAGCUGCAGCCAUCUCGACCUCCAAUGCAGCAUCACAACCUCUGGUAACCCUCUGCGACCGCUGACAGUCAUCGGAAUCGUCUCCAGCGUGCUUGGCCGAGACACCUCUGUCUACGGCUCCACCAUUUUUUAACAUCCAAGAGCUCUCCUUUUUUUUUUUUUUUUUUUCAGGGGAUCUUUCGAGCAGGUUCGAGCUUGGCUGAUCGGUCUUCCGUGCAUUAAUCUUCUCAGCUCGAAUAUGCGGGCUUGGCAGGCGGGGCUGGACUUGGGCGGAGGAGCUUGGGAAGUAGGCACAUGCAAUAGCUUACCAACGAAAUAAUUUUGACCACUUAGCAGGUUCAGGGAGGGGCUUAGACUUCGCGAAAACGGCGUUUUCGCUCAAAUCUGGUCUUCACAUCGUGAUGGAGCGCAAACCCCAGUCAUCUCGGAGUACGGCCGAAACUUCCUCUCCGGCUUCCUGAAUUGUAAUCCAGAGUCUCGCCUCUUUCGAUUCAACUCAUCCAGGGAUUCGAAUGAUGCGAAUCAAUCAUCGAACGAACUAGGGCUUUCGGUUUUUGGGGCUCACCGUUUCGUUGAUUUUAGCGCCGGCAUUGGGGCUUCCGGUCUUCGACUCUUCUUCCAUGGCGCGGACGAUGGCGGGACACUUGCAUGCCUGGAUUUAGAUUAAAUAAAAGGUAAAAUGUAAAAAUAAAUCUAGACGAACUUUAUGGAUAUUAAACUAUUAUAUCUAUAUUUUCAUCCUAUCUAUUCAAUAAUAGCAAUUAGCGGGAAUAACUCUUUAAAUUACUUAUUUCAUUGAUGACUGUCGUUUCAACACUUAAAGAUGGAAAAAGACUUGAUUAAUUUUUAUAAAGAAGAAAGUUGUAUAUGACUCAACCGGCUCGAUCUAUUUCUCAUUAAAUUUAUAUGAAACUUUUUAUUUGCCAUACUUUGUACAUCUAUAUUAUCAUAUAGGCAAGUCCUAAACCAAAUUAAAGGUAAGUAGGAUUCAAUUUAAAAUUUAGUCAAAUUAAUUACAUAAAAUAGUCAUUCAUAUGGCUCGAAGUUUUUACUCUUUACCAUCAUCAUCUAUCAAUUUAGUUAACUCGAAAUUGCCAUUGAUCUUGAUCAGGCUAAUCCUCUCGGAUUCCUUUAGGUCUAGACAUACUAAUGAGACGAAUAGUGUAUCGAAGAGGCACUAAUUCACCAACUCCGAUCUUGAGCGCACUACAUGUUGGCCCAAAUCCAUGACCGAUGGCGUUUGAUCGCAAGAACCGAUGUCCACAGUUGGUGCAUUUGGGAGCUCCACCCGGACCUUCGAAGCAAGAUCCCCGAGGAAAUUGCAUCGAACUUGACAACCGAGGCGACUUUCGAGCCCGAGUUGACGUCGAUGAUCGGGUCAUUGAAGAGGACUACAAGUGAGCUGGUCAUUUUUAUACUUGGAAAGUAGUUCGGUCUAGGUACAGCGCUAAACUAAGAUACUGCAUUGACACGGAGCUACUAUUUAUCGCCGAAAUUCACAGCCAUAAGAAUUAUCUUGAUAGUAAAGCCAACACAUCGUUGAAGUUCCCAAUGCUUGAAAAGAAUUUCGGAAUAGAAGGGUCUCAGCCAUUACAUAAGCUCCAAUUCGACCGCUAAUUGAACCACACAUAAGAAUAGAACAUUCUUGCAUUUUACCAUGAAGGUUAUGCCCCAAUGUGAAUUCCCAAAGGUAUUGAAAUUUAGACUUGCAUUCCAUAUCAUAUAUAUUCCCAUAUUCCCAAAGCUCAAGAACCAAAAAAGGAAAAAAGGGUUAGAUGAUGCCUUUCAAGUUUUCACUUAUUAGUUUUGGGUGUUCAAAAUACAGUAACAGAAAAUGGAAUAUAAAAAUAGAGCAUAUAAAGUUAGAACAAGAGCUGAAGCAAAUAACACUGAGCAAAAGCAAUAUCAUCCUCUUACACAACCCCUUGACUUGCACUGUAUGGGGUAUCAUAAUCUGAACAAUGACUACUCGCCUGGCUUGAUGUUUCUGAAAAAAACUUAAAAGGACAAAUUGAUAAAACCAUCACACCUCAACUCUACAAACAUAGGAAAAAUGGCACAAUUGUCCUUCAAUCCAAAGGACGCAGUCUCAUACAAGUUACCAAUAUAAACCUGUUAUCAAAAUAUAUAUUCAUUAACAUCUCAUAGGAAUAAUAGGAUAGUUACAUGACUAGAGUUCUAAAAUCCACCAACAUAAUAUAUAUAUCUCCAGGGACUGACAAACUAAACCCAAAAAGUAUCAUCACAAGUUAUACGUACAAUUAUCUCAAGUUAUACCCAAAACCCAAAUUCCUAAGAUUCCUCCAGUGAUGUAGCUUUCCUCCUAUUUUUCGGCAGUUGAAAAAGAAUUGCAAUGAAUGGUAUGAGCAAAGCACCUCUCAAUAAAUAGUACAUUUCUCAACAGAUAGAGCAUAAACUAUUCACAGUAUAAACAGCAACAGAAACACAACCAAAUCCAGUAUAUAAUAUACGUAAAAGUCUAAAUAUGAGUUACAUCACUCUAACAAUGUUUUCAACGUAUUAGAAAAAUGCUCAUUCGAUCAACAAUAUUUAAGUAAACAUCUGAGGUCUAGUCUAUUGAUCACUCUAGUACUUCAUAUUAAACUAUAGCCAUGUCUAACGCCCCAUGACAAGGCUUACCAAGGUAUCCUUCUAGGCAUAGGUCUCCACUAAUCUCAGCUGGUGGCUUUGGCUAUACAAGACAUCCUGAGAACAUGUUUGCUUACUCACAUCCCUUUAAUGAUUUCAGAUCAUAGUGAUAAGAGGAUAAAAUAAUCAAUAUAAUCCUAUCUGCAACAAACCCAUUUCAGAACUCGUUUGAUAAACCGGAGUAAAAAAUCGAUACAACCCUUCACAAUUCCAUCCACAAGAAGAAUACAUACAUGAAGAAUUUCUCAAACAAUUUCAUAAAUAAUAAACUGUCCAACCAUCUCAGGAGAUAUUUUACUAUGCUAUUUCAAAUAACCAAAUGGGUAUGAAAUGCAAGAUCUAGCUUUAUACAACAAAAAUGUUCUAAACACCAUUUAAAAAAAAAAAAAAAUCAUAGCGUGCAAUGUUCUCGUUCAUAACUUAUGGCAUAUGUAAUAUCUAUGAUUUUCAAGCCGUGAGUUUACAAAUCAUAGAAGAAAUAAGUACCACUCCUCGCUAACCAAAAGCUAAAUUAAAAGCUUUACCACCUGAAAAGCUAAAAAAUCCUAUCAAAGAAAGCAUUAACCAAAUGUGAAACUUACAUAUCACUAACCUCAACUAAGAUUCUACAAGGUGACACUAAUUUUUGGAGUCAAAACAUCCAAUAUGAGUCGACAAAAACGCCACACAAGCAUCAAACUUGCUACAGCAAACAGAGCAGCAAUCUCGUCGUACGUUGUGAAUUUUGGCAUGUCAUACAUCUCUACUAGACUCCAUUUUAAGUGAUUUUACCGUCAAACGAGAGCUAAUUCAAAGUACUAAAAGACCAAAAACUCCUUAGAGCCAAAAUUUGGCCGACGACUGAUGAAAUCCAGGACAAAACCCUGCUGGUUGCAGUUACUGUACAUUAGUUUUUGAGAACUUCGAAGAAUCAAUAUCUUUCAAACGGCAAUCCGUAAAAUCUCACAAUUCCAAGACCAACCUAACGUUUCGAAACGACAUCAUUUCAAGGCUCAACAAUCUCAAGAAUCAACCCGGCAACCCUAAAACCUGAACCAAUCCGAAAUUACAACUUAACAGAGCAAAUUUCUUUGAUUUCAUUAGAUUUAUCAAGGUUUGGAAUUUCUUACCGAGUGCUUCAAAACGGUAUGAAUCUAGCUCGUCGUGGCCUCCGAGCCGAAUCGCAGCAAAAGCCCCCUUUCGCUCACUCUCAGAUUCCCCUUUUCUCUGUUUUCUCUUUCUUUUACCGACUCGCUCCACUCUCUCUUUUUUCUGCUCUUUAUUUUUUGUAUGAACCAACUCCAGAAGAGAACGAGAAGAUGGGCUAAGGACUCUUGGGCCUAAUUUUUCUAUUCCAUGAGAGGCCCAUAGUCGAGGAGGCCCGUUUAUGGCUUAGAAUGCCAAGUACCACCAAUCCAUGGGCAAUUGUUAACACGCGUAGUUCGUACGAUUGGUAUCUUUUGCAAUGAUUCACAGUCAAAGACCUUCAACUCCCCUAGCUUCUCUAGAUUCGGAGUAUCAGGGUUGGGCCUUUCCGUGGAACUGUAGUCUCCAAUUGAAGGCCGUUCGGAUGCGAUCUCAAUUAGUUGCGGGCAGUGACUUACCCCUAGCGAUUGGUGCUCCUUUAAGCUCGAUACAUUGGAUAUCCUCACGAGCGACUCGCCCCUGCCCACCUCCACUCGCUCCAAGUUCUCUAGCUGUCCGAGCACGCUGUCAAAUUCGAUCUCUCUUAAUGGACAUACGGAGAGACAUAAUAUAGACAUAUUGCCCAGGUUGGAGAACAAUGACCAUGCUAUUGGGGUCUUCACACCUUUUAAGAACAAUCCUAUUAAACUGGACGGAAGCCCGGUCAAAGAUUGUAAGUUGGCACAAGUUAUUUCAAGAUACUCGAGCUGAGAAAGGGCGCUCAAGUCAAUCGGAUGCAUGUUGGAAUCGGAAAAGAUCACUUCCAACUUAGACAAUCUAUGAAGCCUUCCGAGGCACUCUAAGUUCGGAUAUACAAUUUGUCCUCGUUUAAUUAUGGAUAACCCAGUAUCAAGAUCACUAUCACUUAUUGUUAGAGAAUCUAAAUUAGUGAGGUUCGAGAGGUCGGGUACUGCUUGCAACGAUGAAGACGAUAGAUUUAGCGUCUCUACACUUGUGGGGAGAUUUGGUAGUAACUGAAACUCCGUACAAUGCCAUAGAUAUAGUCCUCUGAGGUUAAAGAGCCGAUUGAUUGUCAUCGGCAGUCUACUAACCUUUGUCCCGGACAAGUCCAAAAUCUCCAAUUGGGAUAGUCCUGCGAUUUCACUAGGAAUUUCCCCCUUGAGAUUGUCACACUUGUCGGCAAUUAGCUCCUCAAGAUUCUCUAGAGUCCCUAUGCUCUUUGGUAGCUUUCUUAUCUUACUAUAAGACAAAAUCAUGAGCUUCAACUGUCUAAGGUUGCCAAUUGAAACUGUAAUAGGUGUCGAAGAUACAUCCAAUUUGUGUAGCGAUUCUAGUCUUCCGAUGGAAUCCGGUAAUGCACUUAUACCGGUUCCUUUUAAAUCCAAAUGGAGGAGCAAUCUCAACUCUCCAAUGGAAUCCAGAAGCUCUCUAAGAUUGUAACACUCUCUUAGAGAUAGAUCCUUCAAACCCACCAGUAGCUCUCCUAUUGAGGGUGGAAGUUUUCUAACACCAUCCUGGUAUACCAAAUUUGGCACCAACAAGGAUUUCAGACCACCAAUUGAGUCUAGUAAUGGAGGGAUGGCUGGAGAAAUAUUUCUCUGCAGCAAAUGAUUGCUCCCAUAGAUUUCCAAAUACUUCGGGCGGCCUAGUUGAUCAAUAGAGCUAUCAAUUUCUUCCAAUCUUAUACAAUUUUGGAGAACCAAUUUUUUCAAAUUCAGGCACUUGGAGAAGUCAGGUGUUCUCUUUAAAUAAUUGCAGCUUGCCAAAUAUAUCACUUUCAGGUUGUCAUUUACCUAUAUAAAAAAAAAAAAAAAGAACCCAAUUAUUGAGGAAAAUAAUGGCAUCGGCAAAGGUUAACUCAACGUAACAAAUGCGUACACACAUAAAGGAAAAAACGAAUGCAUUAUAUGAAAUUGUACCAUGCAUGCUCCCCAGCCAUUCCAGUCUUCACUAAUAUCACUCUCUAAAAGCUUGAGAACGGCCAAGUUCCUUAGACAUAAACUAGUGGCAUCUAGGUUUGAAGGGCAAUGAUGCCAAGAGAGCCAUGUUAAAUUAGAGAGAAGAUUUUUGAAGUCUCCUACAAAGUUUCCCCCAUUCAAUUCGAGGAACCUUAGACUAGGUAGCCUUGAAAAUUCAGCACUCGUGAAGUUAUGCCCAUCGCCAAGUCUUGUGAGUUUGAGUGCUACAAUGCUUUCUGUUCCCUAAUAUUUCCAGAGCAACAAGUUAGCAGCAUGAUUGAACUAUUUAGAGUAAGUACUAAAUAUCAAAAUAGGGAACAUAUAUCUAAAUUCAACUAAUAAUAAAUAUGAGUGUACUAGCUAAAAAAUGGGGCAUAUAGAUAUUAUCUUAUACAAAAAGGGGCAAAUUCAUGAAUCAUUAUCUCUCCCACUUACAUGGGAGUUGUUAUGUAAAAAUUAGUUCUUUUGGAAUGCCAUUCAUUUCUCUCAAAUCAUGCCAAAUCAUCAAUGUCUUUUGUACAAAAUUGAGCGAACAUCUUGGGUGAAAAUGAACUCUAAAUACACACAACUACAUGUUUAGUUUUUUCAUGAGCAAUUAAUUUGUUUACUAAGACAUACCAUGUUAUUCUGAACCACAUCCAAGGCGAUCGUCGGACACCACAACCUGCUGCGCUUUCCAGGAACUAUAAAGCAUUCUUGCCGAACAAUCUCUCUUCCAAGAUCUCUCAGUUGGUCGUGCAUCCACAGUCUAUCAUCUUUGAGUUUUAUCAAAGAUAAAUGAAUGAGAACACGAAGUCCGGUAUGCGGAAAAAAAUCACAAGCUUUCCACAUGUAAUAUGUGGGGAUUCUUUCUUCCCCAAUGCAAUGACAUGCGAUAUCAAGAAAAAUUUGUUUUUGCUCAUACUCCAAUUCUUCAUAACUUAUCAAUAACUUUUUCUGGACAUCUUGAUUGGGCACUUCCUUCAACUUCUUCAAUGUUUCUUUCCAUGUUUUCUUGCCUUUUGAAUGGAGUAAAGAACCUAUGACCUCGAGAGCCAAUGGUAGUCCUCCAGUGGUUCCAACAAUUUCACAUGAAACUUUGAUGUAAUCAUGUGGAGGUGAGUCACUUUCAAAGGAGUGCUUGCUGAAUAGUUGAAGAGCAUGGUAAAACCGCAAUUCCUUCAUUUCAUGAAAAUAGAAAUCUCGGUGAUGCAUAGGGAUGAUAUUGUCAUCUAGGGUCUUGGUUUCGGGAAUCAAAAAGGAGGUGUUUCUAGUUGUGAUAAUAAUUCUGCUUCCCGAACCAAACCAACUUGACUCACCAGCUACAUUUAUGAGCUUGUCUCUCUUGUCCAUGUCAUCAAGAACAAUGAAGGCUUUCUUAUCAUUGAGUUUUUGUUUGAUCACGUCCCUCCCCUCAUUUGCAUCGAAAACUUUAGGAUGUUGGAUACCAAGAAUGUCAUGUAAUAAUUUCUUUUGCAGAUUUAAAAUAUCGCUUUCACGGAUAUUUGAAAGAAAGCUGCAACUUUGGAAUUGAGAAGAAAUACGUUUGAAGAUAGCCUUAACAAGAGUUGUUUUUCCGAUACCGCCCAUACCGUGAAUCACCACAAAUCGUACAUCAGAAGUGCCUACGGCUAACAACUUCAUAAUGGUUUCAAUCUGAUCGUGAAUUCCCACCAAGCCGUCACACCAGUUUCUGUGCAUAGGCAUCAACUUACCAGAAACUUCUUCCAGAACAAGGGCUAUAAGUUUAUCUUGGCUGCCACAUACAUAAUGCAACCGUCUUAGUUUUAGAAACCACAAACAUGUGCAGAAGCAUAAAUAUGUAAAACCAUAAAUUUUGAUAGUUAAAACCAAGCAUGGAUUAUUAGUUUAUUUCAUAUUCAGUCCUCCCCAAGCCGAGAAGAUAGAUCUCAGUUACAGAUAACGAUUGUUGGAUAUUGAUGUGGGGGGCGGUUCUGAGGAGCUUUUAGAUGGUCAAAUCAGUGACGUUCUAAAGUGCGAUGUAGCCAUCAAACUAGCUCUAUAGCCAAGCGGGCAAACCAGACCAAUUGUUUUGGUUCGUGCAAUGCAUCUAGCUUGACAAAGGGUGAAAAUAGACCAAAUCGCACAUUAAAUAGAUAGAGCAUUCUUGAGUGGGGCCGACACUGACGAAGAUGUCAAUACUUUUUAGUGCAGGAGUUUGGGGCAACACAAUCCCACAUCGAAUGGGGCACACCUUUUUGAACUAAUUCAUGGGUAACGUCCACCCUUAAAUGGUCACUUUAAAAUUCUACUGUAAUAGGAAUUACCACAAGGAAGAAUGUCAUAAGAUGUGAUAGAAACUUUAUACCAAAGUGCCGUCAAUGGAUCGGUUACGAGUUCUGAAAAAUUAUAUGCCUAAUGAAAUUGACUUGAUGAAAACGAACAUGGUAAUUUGCACAACCAUUUCAACUUCCAUUGUUAAAAGGAGGGGGGAGGGGUUGAUCUAUAAAUUGAGUUGUUGCGAUUAAGAAACUAUGAUCUAAAUUAAGUAAUGAAAGUACAGCAGUUGUCAUUAAUUACCCGUGAUCUUUUAAGUUGUAUCCCUUGAUUCCAGCGACCUCUCUGAGGGCCUCCUCCCACUGCUUCGCCAUAUCUUCACCAAACUGUCUCUCAUGCUUUCGUAGGGCAUUACCGUAUGAUCCAGUUUUGAGCUUAAGAUAGGAUGCAUCCACCCCAUAGAAGAUGGGCAAGAUCACUUUCUUGUAUCUCUUCCUACACUCCACCAUGUGUGCGAGCUCACGGAGACACCAUUUGCUGGAAGCAUACUUUUUAGAGAAGAUCGGUACGUAAAUUUUUGAAUUGGAGAUUGCUCUCAAAAGCUCGCCUCCGAUCUCUUCCCCAACACGGAGCUCUUCAUCAUCUUUGAAGACACAAAUCCCGGCUCGAAUCAUGGCCGCGUAGAGAGAGUCCGUGAUGGUUAACUGAGUGUCGGGCCCUCUAAAGCUCAAGAACACCUCGUAGUCCCUCCUUGAUGAUGAUGAAGAUUCAUCACUGAGGGGGAGAGACUUUCCUUCGGGGCAUUCCAUUCCUGUGAUCUUUGGCCACAAAAGCAAUAUCAAAUUAUUGUGCUUGGUCGAAAUUGCAACUUUCCAGUUUCCUUGCGGCCGUUGCCAAUUUAUAAGAAAACGGUAGACUGACUCUUUUCGUCCUAAAACAACUAUUGACUGAUUUAGGUUCACUGUGAGCGACAGAAGAUGCAAAGAAAGAUCACUACUGCACGCUUCCACGAAAUCACCUACCUCGGACAACCGUUCUUCACUUGUAGUUUUAACGCACCUCCUUUUCCUGAGAACCAAGGAGAGCCAUCGUUUUUCGCAGUAUUUUCUCGGAACGUUCCUGAGUUGAUUCGGGGAAGUCUUCGAAUGUAUUAGGACUAGAGCUUAAUUCCCUAAAAAAAGCAUCGAUUUUUAGUGUUGCAUCAAAGCAUGAGAGGCAUUCUUCCAUACGCAAUGAUGGAGCCUAGUAGGAAUUGAAAUGAAAAGCUGAACGUCCAAACCUGAGGGCAUGUAAUAAUGCCCUCUCACUUUUCCUAAAGCCACUUUUUGCCCCUUUAUUAGGUCGUCACGUGAUAGAAUAAAUUGCCUUGGACAAUACUUUUGCCAUGAAAAAAACAUUUUCUGGUGUGAAAUAUGAGGAGGUGGGUCAUCAAGAGUCAGUUCAUGCUGGGAAUGUGAUGAUUAUCGGAUUCUUGAUUUUCAUAAACCGCUAAGUCCAGAUUAAUCGAGUUUUCAAUACGAUCAUUGUUAGGGUAAAAGAAAAAAAAAGAUCAAGUCUCUCCUAUAAUUUUAAUAAGUGCAUCGAAAUUCAAAAUGCAAUGUUUUAAAGAUGUUUCACCUUGAAACUAAAUUUGGUUGACAUCUUCAAAACUAAAUUGUACAUUGUUUAAGCAUAGUAGUUCCGGUUAAGUGGCAAUCGGAUAUUAAACACGCCUUAUUGCGAAAGGGUUCAAUAGCCUUAUCAAGUGAAAGCACUUCUAACUCGGAAAAACCAUACCUACUCAAUUCAAAGCGUUAAAAAGAAGGUACAAAUGUAUUAGAAGUCCUAUAACUUGUUAUCAAGGUGUAAUGAAGUAUAAAACUUUUAAGAAAUAUAAUUAAAUUCUAAAACUUAUCACAAAGUACAAUCAAAUUUUAAAAUUUUCAAAAAAUGCAAUCAACGAAAUACUUGAUUGGACAAAUUUGAUAAGUUUUAAAAUUUUAUUGUAUUUUUUAAAAAAAAAAUUAAGACUUAAUUGUACUUGCUUGACAAGUUUUAACGCUUUCAAGAUACUUAUUCCUUAAAAGUAAAGCUUUUUCACAAUCCUCCAAAAUUAGUGACGGUGCGUGAUAAAGUGCAGCCAUUCUUGGAGCAAUGUCUAAGACUCAUGCUCUAUAAAUUGCUUCGUUGAUGAAACUAGAGAUUAAUACUCAGCUUCAAAUUCUCUAUGCGAGAGAGAGUGUGUUUGGGUGUGCAUGCGUGAUAUAAUUGUGUGAAAAAAAUAGUUUAUUUGGAUCAUAUCCACGUGUAGCGUGAUGACCAUUCAAUCUAACAAAGCUUGUUACCACAUUAUUUAUAGUGAGCUAAAUGUCCACCGAUUGUUAUUUAAACUUCAUGAAAUACUCAACAAUUGGUAGCAAUGAGAUGCUGAUACCUUGCCUAAUAUGCAUGAUCAUAAUUGUAAUUUAAAUUGAUUUACUCUAAUUUCAAAAACUCUAUUCUUAUAUGCAAUGCAGUCCUGCUUUCAAUUGAUUUGAUUCCUACACUUUUCUUUAGUUUGAGUAAUUGAUUCAUCUCCAUUACUUUAGUUUGUUCAAUUAGGUCUCUCAAAAUUAUUUUAGUAUGUUUCAUAUGUCAUACACUGGUUGAUUAUCACAAAGGAAACUGCUAAAAUGGACUACAAUCUACUGAAGCUAUUGGAUUAAAAAAAUUACACAAAUGGAUAUCGUAUGCGUAAUAUAUAUUCAAAACUAUUGAAAAGAAAUACACAUUUGUUUCUUUCGUGUAAUUCAUUUGAAACAAAUUAUUUGCUCGGUCACUUUAAGAGGUCAUUCUUAUUCGUCAUCCCAAUAUGUCAGCUAAGUAUGGAUUUUGCUGUUCUUGUCAAAGCACACCAAAUAAUCCUUUCUCCAUUCACACAAUAUCGAUUGAAUGAAGAAGAAAGCACAUUGUUUUGUUAAGUGGGAGGUUUAAUCCUUAUCUGAAACAUUUUCUUGAAUUUAAGAAUGAUACUGAAUUUUUAAAAUAAUCUAGGAACCUCAUUAAUUUAAAGCUGAUGAAAUGGUCAAGAGAGAGAAUGCUCCUUGGGCAAAGUUAAGGGCUUAUUAAAUAAAUCAAAAGGUCAAGGACGUCAUAACACGUAAACGAACAAUAAUGAAUUUUUAAGACUCCUAGGGCGUGCAUGGAAACACUCCAAAAAAGUGUUUCCGGCACACUUCUGUACGGAAAGUGUUCCCGGGAACAAAAAAGGAACAGAAACGCGUUUGGUUGCGUUUCUGUUCUUUUUUUGUUUUUUUGUUUCUGGAACGAAAUAGAAACAGAAAAAAGAAACAAAAAAAAGUUGUUUCUCCUGAAAGAAACACUUCUCGGAAGGAACAAAAGAACAAAAAUCACUCUUCUCUCUCUUCUUCUUCUCUUCUUCUUUUUUUUUUUUUUUCUUCUUUUUCAUUUUGGCCGGUCGCCGGCCUCGGCCAUGGCCGGCGACCGGCCGUCGAGGCUCGGCGUCGCCGGCGCGGGCGAGGCCGAGCGUCGCCGGCCCCCGGCGAGCCCAAGCCUCGCCGGGGGCCGGCGAUGCUCGGCCUCACCGGAUCUAGGCGAGCCCGAGCUCGCCCAGCCAAGGCGAGGCCGAGCCUCACCCAACCACGGCCAGGCUCGGCCUCGCCGUGGGCCGGCGAGCCUCGCCGUGGCUGGGCGAGGCUGCCAGCCCCGUCGGCCGGUCGCCGGAGGCCGGUGACCGGCCGAAGAAAAGAAAAAAUAAAAAGAAAGGAAAAAUAAAAAAAUAAAAAAAAUGUUUAAAAAAUUAAAAGAAACAAAAAAAUAAUAAAAAUUACCAAACGUGUUUCUGUUCAUUUUUUAUUCCCGGACCAAACGUUACCAAACGUGUUCUUUUGUUCAAAAACUGUUCCCCAAAACAGAAACACUUUUUUUUGUUUCUGUUCCCAGGAACAAAAAAAGAACAGAAACAAAUCCAUGCGCACCCCUAGCUUCCUUCGACUUGGUUAGCAUCUGCAAAGAGUGAGGAGACCAAACCCCCUAUUUUAAGAAACCUCCUAGCUUCCUUGGUCAAAAAGCGACCGGCCGUACAUAGUCAAUAGUCGAAAAUUGCAUUCGUCCUUUUUCUUUUUUCUUUUUGUCUUCAAAUCCAAAAUAAACUCAGAUGGAGGUUACAAACACUGGAUCCAAUCAGCUAUAUUGAAUAACGAAAACCAAAUACUAAACCUGAUUUAGGAAUAAAGAACCUCUAUUUCUGCAAGGCGAAUUCAUCNNNNNNNNNNNNNNNNNNNNNNNNNNNNNNNNNNNNNNNNNNNNNNNNNNNNNNNNNNNNNNNNNNNNNNNNNNNNNNNNNNNNNNNNNNNNNNNNNNNNGAUUUGCAAUUGAAAAUUAUAUGUUAACAAGCAUUUGGUCCAUAAAGAUUAAAGUCCAUCCUAAAGUUGGCCAAAAAAAAAAAAAAAGCAAGAAAAAAAAGGCCAAUUGAGGCGGGUUUUUGGCGGAAGUAUUUCUUGAUCAAAACUGCAGUAAAAAAUCCUUCUCGUUGAACUCGUAUCUAUAGUUUUCGUGAAACUACAUAUAAAAAUGUUGCUAGCUUGACAUGUCUCUAGUAUUUUGCCGAUUUUGCAUGAUAGAAGAUUUGUUUAGCAUGUAGUCUUGUCGGCACCUAUUCAUUUUUUUUUUUAUGGGCUAAUAUCCCGAAAAAUCCCAAACUGUUAUAUAUGUGAUAAAUUUACCUCAAAUAAAAUUUUUGAUCACAAAAAAUUAUAAACAAAUAUAUAUGUGAUAAAUUUGCCAUAAACUCAUUUUUUGACCACUAAAUAGUUCAAAUUGAUAUGCCUAUAACAAAUUUAUCAUUUAUUAGUUUCCGUUAAAUUUUAUUGUCAAAUUGCUAAGUUAGAAUACAUGUAACCGUUAGCAAUGUAGUAAUAUGAGGUUCUACCUUUUAUUUGUCAUAGAUAUACUGAUUUUGUGGUUUUUCAUGGUAUUAAUAUAAUUUUAAGAAUGGUAUGUUUGUUAUAAAUGUAUUAAUUUGUGAUUUUUAGCAAUAAAAAUAUUAAUUUGGGACAAAUUUAUCAUAAGUGUACCUAUUUAAAAUUUUUAGUGAUAAAAAAUUAAUUAAGUAAAAAUUUAUCGUAUGUGUAUUAAUUUAAAAUUUUGGUGAUAUUAAUUUUUUUUAUUGUGUUCCCGUUCAAGGACAGCAUGCCCACAUCAAAUGGUAAUUUAGGGCAGAUCGAGAAUCUUUUAUGAUCAGGCCAAAUGUACGAGCUGCCCCGGAAUUUUCUCCCGGAACUUCCCAUCUUCCUCUCUCAUUCAAACUCUCUUGGUUAGGAUCACCCAAAGGAAAAUGAUUGAAUCCUCCUGUCGGCCACUUGCCCCGGUAUUUUCCUUGCUCCUUCACAGAUAGCGUGAGAGGCACGCCCACUUUGUCUUGAUCGCAAUGUGUAUUAUGGGUGAAAAGAUCUUUCUUUGGGCUCAGUUCCUUCUGCGUCUUUCUGAGAUCUGAGAAAUUCCCCAAAAGCAAAUGAAAUCCGUGUGUCUGCACCUUUUUCGGGGACGCGUCUGGUUCGUUCUUUCACCCCCUGCUUCGUUUAUCUUUGAUUUCUUGUCAGCAAAACUGAAGAGAUAAAGUUAAAAAAGAAGAAGAAAAAACAGAGGGAAAGCAGAGGAUUCGGCGGAUAAGAACAAGAUAAGCGGGAAGAGGACACAAUAAGGGCACGUGAAAGGAAAAGAAAAAGGUCACCAAAGGAAAGAAAACAGAGAGGACAUGAGUUUGAUGCUUCCGGACACUCGACGUGUUUGUGGGGCCUUGGAAACGGAUAUAGAUGACUGGAUGAUGCAGGAAGCCGACCCCCCUAGCGCUUGAACAAACCAGGCAACUAGGCAAGCACUUGGCCAAGAGGUGGAUGGGCUGCCGGACACCCGACUGUUGGAAUUUUGUUUGUUAAAACAAAAUGGGUGCCUUUUACUUUGUCCCACAUAGAAAAUGUGGGAGCAAGUGGAUCAGUUUAAAUAUGCGGGAUUUCCUUUUGUAGUUAAAUAAGUGAUUAGGUGGGGGUGGACCCGACCAUACCCGCGUGCGGGUGCGCGAUUUUGGCGCGAUUUUUUAUUUAUUUUAUUUUUAGUUCAAAGGUUGCCUUUUAAUAACAUUGGAGAGCAAUUACUAGAAUUUUUGGUUAUCUUAAGAGAACUAAAAAUUUAGGAUUGUUCUACAAUAAUUAUCCGCCUAUAUUAGAAGGAUACACCGAUGCUAGUUGGAUUACAAGUGUGGGAGAUGAGCGUUCCACUUCUGGAUGGAUCUUCACACUAGCUAGAGGUGCUGUAUCUUGGGCGAGCAAGAAACAGACAUGUAUAACUCACUCAACAAUGGAAUAUGAAUUUAUUGCUUUGGCGGUAGCUGGGAAAGAGGCUGAAUGGAUUAGAAAUUUGUUGUUGGAUAUCAAAUUAUGGCAUAGUCCUAUGCCUCCUAUUUCUAUCCACUGUGAUAGUCAGGCCAUUUUGGCAAGAGCCUAUAGUAGCACCUAUAAUGGUAAGUCUAGACACAUUAGUCUAAGACAUGAAUAUAUGAGACAAUUGAUUAAAGAUGGUACCAUAACAAUUGUCUAUGUGAGGUCAAGUAAAAAUCUUGCCGAUCCUUUGACGAAGGCUUUACCAAGACAUAUGGUAAUAAUGACCUCACAAGAAAUGGGGCUGAAACCCUUUAAUUGAAAUCACCAAUAAUGGUAACCCGACCUUUUUCUAGAAUAUCACUAGUUACAAGGUUUAAUGGGUAAGAACAAGUUAUUGAAUGUGAUUGUUUGAUACUGACAUAGCUUUGAUAUGAGAAGUCAGUAUCGUCUGUUACGUUUUGAAUGCUGAAUUGAAUUCUUAAUGAAGUAUGAUACUAGUUUGUAGUGUGUUGAUAGUAACAGAAACACAUGGUAGAUACUUCACCUAUACGAGCUUAGAAGUAGUGCCGCUUCUUACGAAAGUUAGGGUUGCUUUCUAGAGAGCUCAUGAAACAGGAUCAAGCACAAGGCCAUAAUAGUGCGGAGUAAUAUAGAAAUUCUCGCUGAAACAAGAGAUUAAUGUAUGUGUGGUAUGUCUGGUUCUAUUACAUAAAAGUACAAGUUUAAAGCCGAGCUACUUGUCACUUUGAUAGAGCUUUGAUAUAUUUGCACUAAGUAAAGGUUUAACUCGAAAGAGACCUUUAUGUAUGUAUAUUAAUCUUACUGAAGCUUUGGCUGUAUGGUUUUUAAAAAUUUUAUUUUGAAAUAUUUGUUUUACAAACAAAGUGGGGGAUUGUUGGAAUUUUGUUUGUUAAAACAAAAUGGGUGCGUUUUACUUUGUCCCACAUAGAAAAGGUGGGAGCAAGUAGAUCAGUUUAAAUAUGUGAGAUUUCCUUUUGUAGUUAAAGGAAUGAUUAGGUGGGGGUGGACCCCACCAUACCCGCGUGCGGGUGCGCGAACAAUUGUGCGAUUAUUUAGUGCACUUGGCACGCCUGCGCGCCCCGCGGUUUAAUUAGCAUUAAUCCCUUGCUAUUUAUUUAUUUAUUUAUUUAUUUUAGUUCAAAGGUUGCCUUUUAAUUUGAGAAUUCCGGAAAUGAAAUAUAAAUGAAAAUUCGAAAUUCUAUUUAAAAAUUAUUAUUAUUAUUAAAUAAAAAUAUUUCGAAUUUUGUUUGUGUCUUUUCAAGACAACCUUUGGAAAAUUACCUAUUUGGUUUUUAACUUUCCCGAAGGAUUGCAAUUGUUCGUUUUUCGACUUCUUCUGAAGAGUUGCAUUUGUUUAUCCGAACAAUUUUCUAAAGACGUGUUUGUUCGCAAUUUUCACGAAGAGUUGCAAGACUGUUUCAUAUAUAUACUUGUCAUUUUUCGGAAAGAAAAGUGUGGUCAUUUUCGAGUCUUCUUUAUGAAAAACUACAGCCAAUUGUUCGAUUGUUUCUUAGAGAGACCCUGGAGAAAUACUAGAAUUGCUAUUUAGUAUUUUCAUCCGAGACUUUGUUGUAUCAUGGAGGAUUUUUGCCGGUGACUAUGAGCAACGUUGUGGGGCAAAUAAAUCCUUAAAGAAAGUUAUAUUACGCCUCAAAGUCCGAGUUGUUUUACUCGAUCCAAUUUCAUUGUUCAACCCAUUUCGAAGCCAUAUUUACCAACACCGACAAACCUCCCAAGCCAAAAGUCUUUUCCAACAUAGUGCUCGAGCGACGGGCCUAUUUUUGUCAGACACCUAAGCCUCGAUUUUUAUGUAUAUCUAAUGAACAACUUGUAAGAAAUCUAAAGAUAAAGAAUGUUUAAGAAGAGAUAAUGAGAAUACUCAUUUCUUGCUCGAAUCGUUUCGUUUAUUUACUCGUGUUAGUAGUGACAAUAGUUGAUGCAAGAUUCAAACUAUGCAAUUCAGCUGAAAAAAAUCUCCCAACAAUAGUAAAGGUCGGUUAAACUAGGAGCGAAAUCUCAUUCUACGGUUCUAAACUUAACGGGCGCAUCAGAUGAUAGGUUUAUUUUGUAUUUACAUUGAAAUCAUGUGAGCAAUUCAGUGAAGCUGAUAGAAAAGACCAAGCGAUAUUAGUCUGAUACCGUCCCACACGUAAUUGAUCACUGUACCUGGAAAAUGCAGAUAAUGCCAAAGAAGGACUCAAAGAAAAAAGGAAGAAGGACAGACUCCCCAAGUCUUGGUCUUCUCUUUAUUAUUAAGGAAACUUCUGUAAGAUAUGAAAUGAACCCAAGUGAUCCGGGUGUUGAAUGAAGUGAGCAUGAAAACGCGGAGAGAAACACCAGAUUCACCAUUAUUUAAUCUGCUAAACAAUGAUGGUGAUGGGAGUCGCUUAAAGUUAAGUGAAGAACUAAUAUGAAAAGACCAAGACUUCUUAUGAGCCUAAUAAUUUUUUUUCCCUAAUUUCAGUUGCAUCUUAGUUAGAGGCUUUCCGAGUUCGAAUGUCUCUCUGUUCACACUCGCCAAUCUGCAACAUUUACUCGAAAGCCAUUGGCAGGCGCGCAGCGAAAUUGAUGUUGAUUUCCAUUCUCGAGAAAAUUAUAGUGCUUGCCAAUUCUUUUCGCUGAAGCUUUGAUCUACUGUAGUUGAACGAACGUGUAAUGACCGUGCAGCAACACUGACCAACCGCUCCAUCGUUAGCAACUGAUUGUAUGUGACAAUCUGCACUGAGUAUAGAAGUUAAAAAUAGAAAAAAUGGCAAUGGUUGACUGAUGAACAUGCCAUCCGAGUAAAUUCCUUCUUUACAAACUUUUCUGAACCAAUUCCAAUUACUGGUGAACCAUGACAAUGAGGGACGUAAUUCAUUUGAAUGCGACAUGGUAGAAAAGCAUUAAUCCCCUGAUUAAAACAUCAGAGUACAGCAGUUUUUGCUCCCGUCCAACCAUCCUGAUGUGCAUAAGUAGAAACGUCAAAAGGAUUUUUCCAGCUGAAUUCGACUACUAAAGGAGCUCAUUUAUCUUCAUCGAUUUUGAGGGAUUAGACGAGAGAACAGCCGCGGAUACACACUGAAUCCCAAUGCUGUUAGACGUUUACUCAGGGUGUCGACUGACUUUGUUUUGUCCCAAAACAACUGUUUGACUGACUCUGGAUGCUUCCACAAAAUACCUCCCCCGCAGAAACGUUCUUCAUUUGUAGUUCAGUACGCGUCCAUCUUCUUUCGCAGGGUUUUCUACGAAACUACCUGAAUUCGAGCCUAGAGCAGGAGAGGUAUUCGUCUACAUGCAAUGAUGGACCCCAGCAGGAAUUGAAUAAAAAGCUGAACGGCAACCUGAGUAAAUGUAAUAAUGCCCUCACUUUUCCUAAAGCCAAUUUUUGUUUUUUUGUUUUUUACCCUUAUUGGUUUGUGGUACGACGGAAUAGUGUGUUGGACGAUAUUUUGCCAUGGAAAAACAGAUUCUCUGACGUCGAAUAUGAAAGAGUGGGUCAUGAAAAGUCGGUUCAUGCAGGGAUUGUGAUGAUGAUCUGAUUCUUGAUUUUCCACAUUUCAUUAAGUCAAUUAACUUCACUAGACAAUCGUUAUUAGGACCAAUCAAUCCCGACAAUAAUUGAAAAAAUUAGGAUCAAACCUCUCCUAUGCUGUUGAUAAGUGCAUGUUGAGAAAAAAAGGUGGGAUUCAAUCACGCAAAAUGCAUUGUUUUAAUGUAUUUUACCUUGAAAGUCAAUAUGGUUUGGUAUCUUCAGAACUAAAUUGUACAUUACUAAAGCAUAACAGCUCCGAUUAAGUGGCGAUCAAAUAUAAAACAUGCCCUAUAGCAAAAGGAUUCAAUAAUCUUAACAAGUGAAUGCACUUGCCCAAACUCGGAAGAACAGCGGCCACCCAAGUCAAAGCAAUAAAAGAAGUAAUGCUUUUUCACAAUCUUCCGAGGUUUGUGGCGGUACCUGAUUCAAGUGCAACCAUUUUUGAAGCAGUGUCCAAGACUAAUGCUCCAUAAAUAGCUUCGUCGAUUGAAACUGUAGAUUAAGCCUCAGCUGCACCAAUUGAGAGAGAGAGAGAGUCUUUGCGUGUGUAAUAUAAUUGUUUAUUUGAGAGUAACGAUUCAAUUUGACGGAUAACGGCAUCUGCCAAUGUUCUACAUACAUAAAUUUUAGCAAUUACAUCGUUUCCGCAACUUCACUCGACGUUGAAUUAUAUUUUGGGAGACGUGGCCACUCAUUCCAUCCUCCAAGACCUCCGAGUUUAUCGAGCUCUGUAGCGGAGAAAUAGUUGCGAUUUUUCUCAUAAUUACCUUCAAUUUCACAGACCAUCUUGCCUUGUGGAUUAAGAUGUCAAGAUAUAUCGGCGGGCAAUCGAUGAAUGAGUCAAAAGGACUCCCUGAUGGGGUUUCCAUGGGCACUAAUUUCGUGCAAAAAUGCUCGUUUUGACAGGAGUUUCCCUCUUCUAUUCUUCUCUCUUUCAUACUGCUUUUUACCCUUGCUUGUACGGCUUCCUGUGCCCGGUCUUUUUGAUUCGCAUCUUAGCACAGGAAUACGUGGGAAAUUUCUGCGAAGCACAAAUCUUUUCUUCUCUCUUUCACACUGCUUUUACCGUUACUUGUACAGCUGCCUGUGCUCGCUCUUUUCGAUUCGCAUCUCAGCGCAGCAAUACAUGGGAAAUUUCUGCGAAGCACAAUUCUAUUCUUCUCUCUUUCUUGCUGCUUUUACCCUUCUUAGGACAGCAAUAUAUGAGAAAUUUCUGCGAAGCACAAUUCCAUCCUUCUCUCUUUCAUACUGCUUUUGCCCUUACUUGUACGGCUGCCUAUGCCCGCUCUUUUUGACUCGCAUCUUAGCACGGCAAUGCAUGGGAAAUUUCUGUGAAGCAUAAUAUUAUCGUCUCUCUUUCAUAUUGCUUUUACCCUUACUUGUACGGCUGCCUACGCCCGCUCAUUUUUACUCGCAUCUUAGCACGGCAAUGCAUGGGAAAUUUCUGGGAAGCCCAAGGAGGACAAUGCUAUCAACUCUAGCCAAAAUUGAAGCAAUUCUAGCAUUUUAUUUUUACUCAUGUCGGAGAUAAAUGAGGAGGUCCGGAAUAUUCAAAUGAAAAUUUUCUUCUAUGAAAUUGAGGGCGCAUUCAUAUUUUUCACUAUUUUUGCCCCAACGCACCGAAAAUAUCUUCAGAAACAUGGAAAAUGUCCNNNNNNNNNNNNNNNNNNNNNNNNNNNNNNNNNNNNNNNNNNNNNNNNNNNNNNNNNNNNNNNNNNNNNNNNNNNNNNNNNNNNNNNNNNNNNNNNNNNNNNNNNNNNNNNNNNNNNNNNNNNNNNNNNNNNNNNNNNNNNNNNNNNNNNNNNNNNNNNNNNNNNNNNNNNNNNNNNNNNNNNNNNNNNNNNNNNNNNNNNNNNNNNNNNNNNNNNNNNNNNNNNNNNNNNNNNNNNNNNNNNNNNNNNNNNNNNNNNNNNNNNNNNNNNNNNNNNNNNNNNNNNNNNNNNNNNNNNAGUGGGAAUGCGAAAUUUGAUCAUUGGGUGAGGUGCCUUUCAUUCUCCCUAUAUCCCCGUCGAAACGACUUCUCCAAAUCUGGGAAGGGUCGGUCCUUGCCCGCCCGUGGCGGGGUAAUGCGUCGUUAGAUCUGUGCGACGGCCCGCCUCGGCGUUCGACCAGAGGAAGGAGAAGAAGGCAAAAAAAAAAAAAAAAUUAAAAAAAAUUUUAAAAAUUCGAAAAAAAAUAAAAAAAAAUUAUUUUAAAAAUAAAAAUUACCUCGCCGGCCGGCUGUCCCCUGUCGGCGUCCACGUCAGCGCCGGCCGGCCAAUUUUGGCCGGAUGGACUGAAUUGGCACAAUUAUAAAAGGUUUAGGAUUAAAUUGGACAAAAAAAAGUUUAGGACUGAAUUGGCACAAUUACAAUAGGUUUAUGAUUUUUUUGGUAAUUCUCCCCAUUAUUGAGUGGUUGAAGAAGGAAAUUCGAUCUUAUGACUUGCAAUUAACAUGGCAGCAACUUGAUCUAAAUGUGUAAUGUGCAUUGCAUUUUGUCCUACACUUUUUGACAUGGCCAUUCAAUAAAUGAUGGAGUUCGUCACCACAUCAUUGACUAGUGCUCUAAAUGCCCGUAAUUGUUAGUAAAACUGCUUGAAAUACUCAAUAAUUAAUAGCAAUGUGAUAGUGAUAUCUAAAUUCUUGCUUAAGGUGCAUUAUCGUAAUUGACAUUUAAAUAGAUUUAAUUAGGUCCAACAACUUUGUUACGACCUGCAAUGCUUUUCUGAAUUUUGAAUUGAUUUAGUAGAAUGCUAAACUUUUGUUUANNNNNNNNNNNNNNNNNNNNNNNNNNNNNNNNNNNNNNNNNNNNNNNNNNNNNNNNNNNNNNNNNNNNNNNNNNNNNNNNNNNNNNNNNNNNNNNNNNNNNNNNNNNNNNNNNNNNNNNNNNNNNNNNNNNNNNNNNNNNNNNNNNNNNNNNNNNNNNNNNNNNNNNNNNNNNNNNNNNNNNNNNNNNNNNNNNNNNNNNNNNNNNNNNNNNNNNNNNNNNNNNNNNNNNNNNNNNNNNNNNNNNNNNNNNNNNNNNNNNNNNNNNNNNNNNNNNNNNNNNNNNNGCUAGUGAGAAGUACAGAGGAUUUUGCUGUUCUUUUCAAAGCAUAGCAAACAAAUCCAUUCUCCAUUUCACAUGAUUUCCAUUGAAUCACGAAGAAGGCGCAAAAGGUUUAUCCUAAUCCCAAACCCUUCUCAAACUUAAGACGAUACUAAAUAUUUGAAAAUGAUUUAGGAACCUCAUUAAUUUAUAACCAAUCGAAAGUUUUGUAGCGACAAUGCUCCUCAGCCAAAGCGUAGGACCUACUUGAUAAAUUGGAAGGCCGGGCAUAUCAUUGGACUUUAACUGACAAUGUUGAAUUUUAGGACCAAAAUUCGAAAACUAGUGGUCUCACUGCCCCUCUAUUCGAUGGUACAUUCGUUGAUGAAAUCAAUUGGAUUUGCAAUUUUCAAAGAGACUCAAAAAUUAAAUUGAAAUUCGUACUGGAUGAUAAGAUUAAAAGCAUAUGACCAUUCCGUUUGCACAGCCACAAGCAUUUGCCUUUUAUUGAUCGAACCUUGUUGCUUCGACGUUGGAAACAGGUUUUUUUCUCCUCGUAUAUCCCUAUGCAACAGAAGUUUGAAGGAACUAUCAGCUGUCGGCAAACUGAGUAGCUUCAUUUGGGUGCAUAAAAUUUUUUAUUGAAAUCGCGGACAAACUGUUGAAUACAUCAGAAGACGGAUUUGCAUAUAGAUGAAUAGCACAAAGGGAUAUCACUUGCUUACUUCAGGCCAACUGAAAAAAGGGUGAAAGAGUCCUGGCAGCUCUAUAUCACUUUUCUUAAUAGGGCCGUCUAUAAAAUAUAUCGAGAAUUUAAGCCCAUUGAACAAAGCCCGACUAAUGAAAAUGCGUGAACUCGACCAUGUACAAGUCAAAAAUUGGCAUACCAGAAUUGGCUGGCCAAGAUUUCAAAAAGCGUGAAGAAAAAUCAAUUACAUGUGACUUUGUUGCCUUCUCCAAUUCCAAUAUAUCGUGCAUGUUGGAUUCUUUGGCACGCUGAAUUUGUUGCCCUAGAAGAAGGGGCUCACACACACGCAUACAUAUAUACACCUGAUCAUAUUUUACUUUAAAUUAAUUUACUUAGGUUCAAGAACUUUAUUCUAAUAUGCAAUGCAUUCAUGCUUUCACAUGAUUUGUUUAGAUGUCCUACACUUUUGUUUAGUACGUGAAUUGGUCCAUCUCUAGAACUUUAGUUUGUUCAAUUAUGUCUCUUGAAAUUAUUUUAGUAUGUUCAUGUGUCUUAUGCCCGUUGAUUAUCGAAAGGAAAUGGCCACAAUGGACAACAAUCAACUGAAGUCGCUGGAUAAAAAAAUUAUACAAAUGGAUUUCGUGUGUGUAAUAUGUAUCCCAAAUGAUAAAAAAAAUAAUACUCAUUCAUUUCUUAUGUAUAAUUCAUUUGAAACAAAAGAUUUGCUCGGUCACUUUAAAUGGUGAUUCUUAUUCAUCAUCCGAAAAUGUCAGCUAAGUAUGGAUUUUACUGUUCGUGUCAAAGCAUCGCCAACAUUCCGUUCUCCUUUAACAUAUUACGCUUGGAUCGGGGAGAAAGCACAUUGUUUUGUUAAGUGAGAGGUUUCAUCCUUAUCAGGAAACUUUUUUUGAAAUUAAGAAUGAUAUUUGAAUAUUUGCAAAUAAAUUAGAAACCUCAUUAAUUAAAAACUAAUGACAAGUUCAAGAGGGACAAUGCUCCUUGUGUCACACCCCGAAACCAUCAUAAAUGAGGGUGACACGGCCAUCCUUCCACUCGAAGGACGCAGCCUCAAAGCUCCCAAAAUCCAAUUCCUAAAAGUCCGCUCAUCGAUAUCGCUCUUGUACUACUUAUCGUACUAGUUAUCAUGAGCUGAGGAACCUAAAAAAGAUUGGCAAAUAGGGAGGUGAGCAACCACAGCUCAGUGAGUAGUUCAUCAUUUCUAAACAGAUCGAGCACCCACUAUACAUAUUUACAAAACCAAAGUACAACUCUUUUAACACAAAUCUAGAAUAUAACAAACAAAUAAUACGAGAAUAAGUUAUGUACACUUAAGAAUAGCUACAUUCAUUUCACAAUAACAUCAAAACAAAUAUCAAUGGUCAAAUCCAUUUAUCAAUCUCAUUAAGUCACACGCCAAUGGUUCAUUUCAUUGAUCAGUCUCAUGCCAUAUUUCAAUGGUUUAUUUCAUUGAUCCAUCUCAUAGGAAACCGCAAAUUGAUGAUCCAUUCUAACGACUAAACUCAAAUUACAUGUUAAUGGUCCAUUCUAUUGACCAAUCCAUUGCUCAAUAUCAAACUAUGGUCAUGAUACAAUGCCUAAUGACGGGCAACCAAAAUUUCCCCCUUAAUAAGGUCUCCACCUAUUAUUGGCCGUGACUCAGCCCACAAUGAUACAUUAGACUAGUAUGUACAUACCCACAAGCCUCUCGCUAGACUGGCAGCAAUAUUGAGCAUUAAUAUCAAUCCAAAACAAUACCAUCCAUAAUUCACAAACCAAAUCCAUAAAUCAUUUUUUAUAUCACCAAAAGAUUUCACAACUAUUUUUUAUGCCAGGUUAGGCAGACAAUGANNNNNNNNNNNNNNNNNNNNNNNNNNNNNNNNNNNNNNNNNNNNNNNNNNNNNNNNNNNNNNNNNNNNNNNNNNNNNNNNNNNNNNNNNNNNNNNNNNNNUUAUGUUCUGAGAUUCUUACACAAAGUGCCGAAGAGAAAAUGAAACAAGAAGAGAGGAGAGAGCAAGCUCAUAUAUAGAGGCUUUCCGGGUUCGAAUGUCUCUCUCUGUGUUCAUAUGUUUGAGCUACUUUGCAGCCUCCAAUCUGCUGCCUAUAGUCGACUAGCCCAUCGGGGUGGGUAGAGGGAAGACAAUGCCGAUUACAUUCUUGAGAGAAUUCUAGUGUUUGCCAAUUCUUCUCACCUAAGCCUCAAUCUACGACUGUAGUUGGAUGAAUGUGUCACGACUGAGCAGGAACACUGACCAGACGUCAAUCAUUUGCAACUGAUCAUAUGGAGAAAUCUGGAGUUAAAACAGAGAAAAAGGAUAAUGGUUGAUUGAUGAAGGUAUCAUCUGAGUAAAGUGCUUCACAAACUGUUCGGAGCUAACUCCAAUUACUGGUCAACCAUGACGAAGAGUGACAUUAUUCGUUCGAAUGAGACACAGUAGAAAAGCGUUGGUCACCUGAUUAAAUCCGUCUGGCCAAACUAUGGACACGGCCUAGUUUCCCAUUGGCUGAAUCUCUUCUGGUUCGAUGUCUUCCGGAACAUUGGAAUACUGCAGUUUUUGCUCCCCUGUCCACUCAUCCUGAUGUGCAGAUAAGUGGCAUAAGAAAGAAUCUCUUCACUAGUCCAAGUCACAAUAUCUAAGACAAGCACAGGACAAGUAGAAACUUCGGAAGGAAUAACUUAAGCUAAAUUCCACCACUAAUCUUCAUUGAUUUUGAGGGAUUAGACUGGAGAAUAACCGCUGUUAUACUCUGAAUCCCUAUGCUGUUCGGCAUUUAUCAGCAUGACAAAGGAUGCCAAAGGAGGGGAAAUCAGAGUAAAAACUUUUGAGGCAAGAAGUAUUUUUAGUCGACUGAAUAGAUUUAAAUGAAGAAGUUCAAUACUCUAAAAUCUACCAUGCCAAAUCACUAAUACUCAAGAAUUCAGUUGAUAGAACACUCGGAUUACUGAGAUCUGGUAUGGUUAGUUUAAACCAUCACGUGAAGAUAAGAGGUAAGGUUUGAGUGAAAACAUGCUCGACCUUCAUGUACAGGUGCUUGGAUUAUGGGUAAUGGCGUGAAAGCUGCUCAAAUCCACUUAUCUACAUUUUCAAAAUGCAACUGUAGACCUCUGAUUNNNNNNNNNNNNNNNNNNNNNNNNNNNNNNNNNNNNNNNNNNNNNNNNNNNNNNNNNNNNNNNNNNNNNNNNNNNNNNNNNNNNNNNNNNNNNNNNNNNNNNNNNNNNNNNNNNNNNNNNNNNNNNNNGGUUAUGCGUGAUUGUGUUGACACCGCUGCAAUAAAAACCUACAUAUCAGAGGAUUUUUCCAGGUCAAAGGAAAGUCCUUAUACCACAAUUUGAGCUGAUCGGUUGUUUCUUCUCAUGGUCGUGGGGUGUAGAAAGAACUCCUCGUCUGAAUCUGGAACCUUCGCUUUGAUUGCCUUGAUAACUUUAUCAUGAGUUACGGCUGUUGACACUGGAAAGGAAGAUGACACUUUGAAUCAUUUGAUUAUGAAAGCCAAAAAUAAAAAAGAUAUGCAAUUUCUGAAGGUAUUCCUUUAGUUCAAUCGUCGGAGGGGAGAUGAGCCUAAAAUUUUAGUGGCAAAUGACGAACUGGGAAAGUUCUCAUCUUAGGAAUCUAGUUAGACACUGGCACUGGAUUCUCGAAACACAGAUAUCUCUCUCAACCUUUAUCAAGAAAUUGUCUUAACCUAAUAAAUAUAAACUACCUUGUUGACGAAUCUUGGCACACUGUUGCACAACACACACUCCAAGGUCCUGGAAUGUCUUGGCAACUUCUCCUAGAGGAUCUGCCACAACUUCUGGCAUUCCACUAUCUCCAAAAGCUGAUAACUAAUAUCAAUGGAAGAAAUCAUUAUUAUUCAUCAUGCUUCAACAGGAGUAAGAAUGGACAUUAAGAGAACAAAGGCACAACAAUGAGAGAUAAGAUCAAAGAACUUGUCAGAGGAUAUACCGUUGGUCUAAUGGGAAGAUUGAAUAAAUGAGGAAUUCCGAACUGCUGGAAAACCUGUAAAUAAAUCCAGCACAAUCUGAGGAAACAGAGAAUAUGCUUCAUCCUUUAACACCAGUGUAACCCUAGGAUUAGCGCUCUGGCAUUCCAUUGUAACAAGUAAACCAAACAAUAGGUAAUCCGAGAAACAUACCUGAGAGCCUGAUCCUCUACCAAGUGGGUAAUAGUGCUUUCCAUCGGCAUCAAAGUGGCACAUAUUUUCCACAACAGCAUCAUGGUACCUGUGUGCAUGAACAGUGGAUUGUCAAAAGAUGACUCUUUGAUAGAUAAAAAGAGAUCAACUAUAGGGCACCGAGAGGGGAAGGGAGGGUUGCAAACCCUAUACAAAAAGAGCCCAAAACUAAAGACAUACACAAAACAGCUCACAAAAACGAAAAAAGGAGCUCAAAUUAAGGAUAAAUCACUGAUGAUAUCAACUAGAACUAUACAUCCAUAUACAAGUUUCCACUGUACCAAAAAUGUAUAACUUUAAGCCAAUUUUCAAUAACAUUCUGUCCAAUAAUUGUCACGGUGAAUUUGUAUCUUUUAAAUUACAUUUCCAUGUUUCAUCAUAUUUUCAGAAUUCUUGACAAAUGAUUCAAAGGAUAAUCAAAGGAUAGUGUUGAAUGGGGAUUGUCAAUAGUACAAAGGCACAAACCUGAAGUUUUGAGAACAUGCGAAUUCCCUUUGCUACAUUUAUAAAUGCAAGCUUUUGAGGGGUGGUAACAAUGACGGCAGCUGUUAAGGGUACAACCUGAAAAGUUAAUAUCAUUACAUUAAGAUUGAAAACUGCAGCAACAAACAAAACUUGCAAGAGUAUUAUCUGAUGCAAAAUGCCUGCAACUAGCAGCUUCUAAUUGUAAAGAUGUGCUUUGUUCGUAAAAGGAUAGAGGGAUAAACAUUAAACCGUUCAUAAUUACUGAUCUAAGAUGAAAAGGCACAAAAUGCGAACCUGGCAUAAUGUAAGCUGAAUGUCGCCAGUCCCCGGUGGCAUGUCAAUAACAAGGUAAUCCAACUCACCCCUGCAAGGGGAGUUUAGUAAUGCUUAGCUGCAGAAGCCCGACCCAGAAGCCAAAAAAAGGAGAAUGAUGAGAGAAAAUCAUUGUUUUUGAUUAACUGUAGUUUACUUUGAAUCAUGCACUUCUCUUAUAGGAAUAUAAUACGCUUUGACAACAAUGACAGUGAACAGAAAUUUGAAUAUAAUAACCACAGCAUGCAAGCAUGACGGACAUUCCCCUGCAAUCAGCCAACGUCAUAGAGUUCCAAUGAUUUUUCAUACCACUCGGUAGUAGUCAAGAGUUGGUUGAUGACACCAGAAACCAUUGGACCUCACAUAAUCGCACGGCCUUGUCCAGCAAAUCCAAAAGAUACCAGCUUCACUCAUAGGUAUUCUGUGGGAAUUCUGCUUCUUUUCUCUGGGUUCUAGAAAAGGUAGGUGGAAAUAAUAAAUGCAUUACUUCACUAAACUAGAAAUUAAUUUCAUUGUAGUGGAA
rnacentral:lncRNA from 1 species